rnacentral:lncRNA from 1 species
GGGUUGCUUUUCCUGUGUUAUUUUCCUUUUUAGCUCAAGAAGUUUGUUCUUGGUCAACAAUUUUAUGAUUGUGGUUAUGUGAAACAAGUUAGGGUACAUUUGAUUCCAAAAACAAUUUGAAGGAAAAAAAAAAAUAUAAGAAAAAAGAUAUAAAAAAAAAUUAUAAAAGUUUUCUUUUGUCUGAUAAUCUAUGAAAAGAGUUGAAAGAAAGAAAUAUAAAUUAUUGAAAUAUACAUUUUUUUCAAGCUUUCAUUAUAUUUAUUUAAAACCAAAUAAGGGAAAAAUCUUUUACUAUUUUCCUUUAUCUUUUUUAAGCGUUUUCAUCGUAAGAAAAUAAUUUUUCUUUACAUUCUUUUUCCUUAUUAAUUUUCAAGAAUCAUGUAUAUCAUGGUAAUUUUAUUUUAUUUUUCUUCUUUUGUUCCAUUCCUUAUCCUCAGGUUGUUUGAACGGUUUUUUAGUAAUCAAAUUUUCAUCAUCAUGUCAAUUUUUAUUCUUAUUUCUAUUCCUGUAUAUUUAAACACAUUUUCAUCAUCGUAUUCUCUAUUUUUAUUACAUAUUAAGAAUUACUUACCAAAAAAUUAUUCAGAAAUCAAUUUAAAUAACUUCUAAAAUAAUUUUUAGAAACUUGUUGGACACUUCAUAAAAAUCAUUUCCAACUCCUUCACAAUCACUCCCAAACCGCCUCUUAAUAUGAUUUAAGAAGCACUUUAAGAAGGGGAAAGUUGUUGGUUUAAGGAUCAAUUACAUCAUGACUAGCGGUUGUAAGUUGUGAGGAUGGCAUAUUGACAAUCAUACAUAGAAGGAAAAGAGAAGAAAGAAGGGUUUAUUUUUCUUACUUGAGUGCCCAGUGUCUGUGAUGUGAAUGAGGAUUGACUUCAUUAUGGUGCGUUCCAUUAAACCUUAGAAAAUUCAAAAUUGGGUCUGAAAAUAGAAGUGCUUUUCGGCUAACUAAGCCCACUUGCAGCAGCACAUAUGGACGUACACCUUGGAAUUUCCGACUUCCUUCCUAGUGUAGUGCCAUUAUCUAAUUUGUAUACUUUCUCCCAAAAAUAAAACAUCACAUGCAGUAUACCAUUUUAUCAUCUUAUGUGACAAGAAUUGAUAAUAAUCAAAAGGUUAAUAAAAAUACGAAAAUGUUAUCAAAGCUUAUAGAUAAUUAAAAAAUACUUAAGAAUAAUUUUAAAAUGUUUUAAAAGUGAAAAAAUUUUGAAAAAAAAAAACGAUGGGUAUUGCAAACGAAUGUUUCGGUUGCUAAAAAAAUAUAGUUUCAAGGGACCUUAAGAAUGUUCAAAAGUAUAAUCCUCGAAUAUAUUAAUUUUAAGAUAUUUUAGUUAUUUUAUUAAUGAUCAUUUUGUCUUAAUUUUUUUUAAUUUGGGUGAAUGUAUUAAGAUAUUUAGCAUAUGUAAAUACAAACAAUUUUUUUUUUCAAAAUGAUUUUAAAAAUUUUAAUAAAUGCCUAAUCAUUUUAAGGAAAUAAUAAUAAAAUCUUUCAACCAUUCUCCACACUUUUUAAUUACAUUUUUAAUAUCUUUAAUUACGUUUAUACUUUUCACAUUCUAAGCAAAGCACAACAAGGGUAAGCGGUAUAAUAUUGGAUUCCAAAAAGAAGCACAAAUCUUAAAAAAAAAAAUGUUGAUUAAACUAUUAAGCAUAACAUAAAACCAUGGGUAUAAUUAGGAAGAGUUAAGGGAAAGUUGUGUUUUGGUGGGCCAAUUUGUUAAAUAUAUGAUUUUUGGAACCCAGGUUUAUGAAAUAUGAAAAACAUCUUUUAAUGUGGAAACUUAUAUGAGUUUCAUGCACUCUGAGCCGCUUGUCUUUUUUCUACCAAGAUUGCCCCUCCCGAUAUCUAGGUCAGCAACAUCCGCAAGGCACGUCAGCACGGGCUGGAACUCCAAAAUCAAAUAUUCUUCUUCCCCAAAAAACACCCUAGCCGACAGUUCUUUCUUCCCCCUCUCUCAUUUGAUACCCAUUCCUCUCAUCUGUCUUCACUCCGUCACCGAGGCAAUUUGAGCUUCCCACAAAAACAAUGUAGUCGACGGUUCAACACCCUAGCCGACUGUUCCCUUUCUCUCAUUUGAUACCCAUUCCUCUCAUCUGUCUUCACUCUGUCACCGAGGUGAUUUGAGCUUCCCACAAAAACAGUGUUGUCAACGGUUCAACACCCUAGCCAACGAUUCUUUCUUCCCUCUCUCUCAUUUGAUACCCAUUCCUCUCAUUUGUCUUCACUUUGUUACCGAGGCAAUUUGAGCUUCCCACAAAAAUAGUGUAGCCGACGGUUCUUUCUUCCCUCUCUCUCAUUUGAUACUCAUUCCUCUCAUCUUUCUUCACUCUGUCACCGAGGCAAAGCAGAGAACCGUGUAGAGUUUUAAAAAAGUUUUGUCAUUUCAAUUGAAAAGGCCUUAAUCCCAUUUGUCUCAUCUAAGAUUUUCUCUCUCAAGGUAACCCAUUGCUUCCUUGUUUUGCAUUCACAAUCAUAUUAAAAAAAUCUGUUGUUUGUGUGGGUUUUUUCUGAACUAGGUGUGACUCAAAUGUUGGCAUUUAGGAGUUGGUACUGAAUUUUUAAAUUUGUUUGUAAUGAAUCAUCAUCGUAUUUUUCAAUUCCAUGCGUUUUUUUUUUUAGUUUCUACUAUUUUUUUUUGGAUUGGCAAAUUCUCAAAACUCUGUUGUUUUGAUAUAAAAUGAAGGCAAGAAUAUGGGUUGGGAAUUGUUUUGCUGAAAAACCCAUUUGUUUUGGUUGUGGUUUAGAACUAGGAAAAACAUAUUUGAAUUGAUUUGCCAAAAAGGAAUUUUUUUUUUGCCUUUUCGUUUUUGGGUAUUGGGAAACAAUGCAUUUUUAGUGAAACUCAUUUAUUGGAUUGUAUUUUUGGAUUGGGCUAUGUAGUAGAUUACCAAAAGGGAACACUUUUUGGGGAUGAUGUAUUUCUUUUGAGAGCGAAAUAAGUGCUUCUGAAAUGGUGAUUUUUAGAUUCCAAAUUACUCAGGUUUUUGGGUUUUUGUGAAUUGAUGGUUAAUGGGUGCUAAAGUUUUCGUUGUUUUUUUUUUGUUUUAUAUGUAUAAUUUAAAUUCACGUCCCAUUUCUUCAAAUAUUUUUGGUUAGUAUAUGUUACUCUUUUUGUUGAUUAGUAAUUGAUAUUGAUUUAGAGAUUCCUUUUAGAAGAUGGAAAUAGAAAAGGCUAUAUAGGAACUAUUGGUAUCAUGCACUGGUUUAAUUUCCUUCAUAACUCUUUUGGAAUUAGGGAAUGCAAGUAGAAUGGAUGAAAUGCAUUUUGAUCUAUAUAUUGUUUUUUUUGUUUGUCUGUGACUGCUCCCAUUUAGCACAAAAUGACGUAGAUUUGAUAAUUUUAUCAGUUUGAUUUUCAUAUAUUUAUAUAAAAUUACUUUAACUAUUAGGCAGUUGCUAUAAAUGCUUAGAAAAAAGGAUAUGGGUUUUCAGUAGUUAAAAUUAUCUAGUCAAAUUUAUAUUUUAUAUAUACAAGUAAUAAUUGUAACCCUUAAAUGAAGUAACUAAAUUUUAAAUGACAUAAAUUAAGAAAUGAAAAUUUUAUGACACUCUAAUCUUCAGAUAAAUGGUUCUUUAUGAAUAAACAGUGUGGGGAGGAGCCAGAUCUCCAUGGCUGACCAUAAAGCUGUUCCGAUUCCAUUGGUUUUUGUAUUUACCGUAACAAUACAAACUUCCAAUGCUGAUGAAGAGCUCGUAAAAAAAUAAAUUGAGCUAACAAAACCUUGCUUGUCAUUAUGACUGACCAAAUUUGUAGUCGUGGUGUGCUAGUUAGAAAAUGUUCACUUCUCAUAUUAGCCUUAGUAACUUCAUUCCUUAACAUUAGGUAAUUCCUUUAUCAAUACGUAGGUCGUUUCGCAAGGAUAUAACCAAUCAAUCGCAUUGCAUGGGCUACGUGCAUAAAACAUACUCAAUUGCGCAUCGUGUUCUAUUUUGGUGAUCAGUUGGUUAGCCUUAUUCUACUACUAAGUUAACCUUAUGUACUAGCUCAUUAUUCCUGAAAGUACUACCUUAAUCGACUGUAGGUACUGCCUUAGUCAACAUCAGGUACUACCUGAGCCCACCUUGGGUACUACCUGUGUGACGAUUGAAAACUGCAUUUUAUUCAAUUGUAGAUAAUUCAUAUGUGAAUAAAAGUUGACUUUAUUUUUAACCCAAUGGGGUCAAUUUGUCAAACAUAAGACCCAGAGGCUGUUUUCAAGCCAUGCAUAAAUUAAAUUUUAUUCACUUCCACAUACAACUUAUCAUGACAUUAUGUGUUUGAUUACUCUGCUCAUUUGGUUCCCCUUAUCCUUACUACAGACUGUAUAGGUACUAUCUUAAUUAACCUUAGGUCUAACCUUAGUAAUCUUUAGGUGCUACCAUAGUUGGACUUGCACACUACUUGUGCGCAUCAUCCAAUUAUCAUGUUUGAACCUUAAUUGCAUAGUUCCUUGUUGGAAUCUUCGAAAGUGCGUAUGUGACGCUUAUAUAUUUCCUACAUCAAAGUAUAUGUAAUCAAGAUACAUAAUUCCUCAAUCUUUCGUUGUUGUAUUGUUUGUAACAAAUCUUUAUGUCAUUAAGGAAAUGGAAGAUGAGAUGUUUUGUUACAUUCAUGAAGGUGGUGAGCUUGUUAAGAUUGUUGUUGGGUCCAUUGAAUAUAAGAGUGGUCGGACCAAUUGCAUUGUUGUUAGCAAGAAUAUCUCACAUUUUGAAUUCAUUUCAAAAGUAUGUGGUGAACUUAACUUGGAGCCCAAUUCAAUAAAAUUGGAUUUCACAGUGAAGUUUGACCCAUCAUGUCUACUCCCCUUGCAUAAUGAUGCCGACAUAGUCAAGAUGUUCAAAUUCAACGACAUGUUUUCUCAUGCCUAUGUCUUCCAAUGUAUUGAAGGUGGUGAUGGCUUCAUUUGCCAUACUAGGUACCUAAUGUCUUUCCACAAUAAUGUUCCCUUUUGUAUAAUCGCUUUUCACACCUAGGUGGAUGGAUGAGCAAUUUAUUUCCCUGUGUUUUUUCCAAUGUCCCAACACCUAUUGUUGCUUCAAACUCGGUUCAUGUUUCAUUUAUUGGCAAGCCCCAAUUGCACAUGUCUAAUGAGUCGCCCACAAUUGAGUCAUUUGGGUUUUCCCAAAGAUGUGCUGAAACAAAUAUCGUUCAACUUCAACCAAGCCGGUUCGAAGAUUCAAUUGUAGGUAGUGGACAUACCUUCCCAAAUGCCUCGGGGUUUCAAGAUGCAAUUUAUUUGAUGUCUUUGGCUGGAAAAUUCCGAUAUUCUUACAAAAGGAAUAGUCCAAAACACAUGACCGUAGUAUGCACAAUUGAAGAUUGUCCUUGGAAAAUCACUGCCCGUGCAAUAGGGGAUUCGAAGAUUGUUCAAGUACACACAUUUCGAAAUUUGCAUAACCAUUGCUUGGAAGAUGUUGCCUUGUGUCAACCUUUAGUGAGAUCCACUCGUGUGUCCUUGGUCAUUGAUGAUGUCAUUCGAUCUACUCCUAAAUACCAACCACAACAAAUUUGUAAGGACUUUGUAAUGUAACAUGACAUCCAGUUGACUUACCUAUAAGAAUGGAAACUGAAGGAGAAGGCUAAGAAACACAUUUAUGGACAACCCAAGAAUUAUUACAAAUUGUUACCAUGUAUGUGUGAAAGAAUUCUUGCAACAAAUUUGGGAUUGAGUGUUGAGUUGAGUUAUUCUGAUGAUGGCCAUUUUGAGCAGCUUUUUGUUGCUCAUUCAAUAUCUAUUGAAGGGUUUAUAAGGGGGUGUAAACCAAUCAUUGCAAUUGAUUUGGCCCAUAUGAGUGGGCCUUAUGACGGUGCUUUAUUUUUAGCCACCGCCUACGAUGCUAAUGACUCUAUGUUCCCUUUAGCCUUGGAGUGAUGAGUUCAUAAAAUUAUGAAGAUUGGUUAUGGUUCUUGGAAAAACUGAAGAUAAUUGUGGGAAACAAGGAAGUUAUUAUUAUCUCAUAUAGACAUCCUGCCCUACUUCGUAGUGUUCCUGAAGUGUCUGGCCUUGAAAACCAUGCCUAUUGCUGCCGUCACCUGAAAGAGAAUUUUAGUAGUUUCUUGUCCAAGCAUAACAUACGAGGGAACAAGGGUAAAAAAAUGCAUUGCAAUUCUUAGAUAGCCUUGCGUAUGGAAGGUUAGAACAUGAUUAUAACGUUUCCAUGUUUGAACUAAAAAAUUACAACGAGGCUUUAGCCACAUGGGUUGAAGAAAAUGAGUCACACCAUUAGGCCAUGUCCAAAUUCCCAAAAAAAAAGAGAGGAUAAAAUGACUAUCAACCUUGCCGAGUCAUUUAAUGCUUGGUUACAGAAUGAAAGACAUCACUCCAUUUGUAACUUUUUAUUGGAGCACAUGUCCAAGUUAGCUUUUAUGCUUGUGAAGCAUAAAGAAGAGUCGAAGAAUUGGAAAUGGUGUAUAGGCCCAAAAAUUGAAGAUAAGGUGCUGCAAAAUAUUGCAAAGAGAGAGGUGUAUCCAGUCAUUCUGUUCAUGAAUGGAGUAUUUGGGGUAUGUAUCGGGAGAGCCUUGUUGAAUGUAGACAUUAUGAACCUUACAUGCACUUGUAAGGGUUGGCAAAUGUUGGGAAUCCCUUGUGAACAUGUCGCAGCCGUCAUUAUUUCCAUUGGUCAAAACGUUGCUAAUUUCGUUGAUGAUUGGUACAAAUACCCAAUGUAAGAGUUGAUAUAUGGGGGCUCUUUCUUCAGCAUAGAGACCCAUGACAUGCCUAGUGUGGAUGAUGAUGGUUUGGUUCGAUCUAUCACUGGUGAGGUUUUCUUCUCUCUAAAGCCUCCAUAUACAAAACGCAUUCCCGGAAGGCCAAGGAAGAAGCGCAUUGAGUCCCAAUUUCACGAUAAACAGACUGUGUAUUGCUCUCGUUGUCAUAUGUCCAGCCACAACAGAAAAACUUGUAGGAAUCCUUUGCCCUAAAUGCAUAUUUGUCAACUUAUUGCAUUAUGCAGAUCUUGUAUUACUCUAUUUCAACUAACUUAAGUGAACUGGUUGUCACCAAAUCAGCGUUAGUAUUUGAAUAUUUUGUACCUUUGCCUUCACUUGCUAUGUUCAUUGAGUUAAAUUAUAUUGCUCUGCUUAUUAAUUUCUUUUAGAAUGUCUGAACUAUGGUUGCACCACAUAUUGUUGUAUUGGUAUUUACUCCAAUCGCAUGUAUUUGCUCCCAUUACCUUGGUUAAACUAGUAAAACCAAACUGCAGUAUAUGUAUCCAUGUACAAAGACUACUGUUUCACUGUACUAUAUAGAAUGUCAACCCAACAACCUGAAAUGUAUACCAUUGAAUCCAUGUAUUUUGUUAUUAUUUGUUUUUCCACCAUUUCCCCUUUCUCUCGCCGCCACAACUUAUCUUGUCUAACUACAUACAUGGUGGUUAUUAUCCCACUUUUUAAUGUUCUAUAGGAAUUCCUGCAGCAUAGAGAUGCUGCUUAGGCCACCACUGAAUGUAAAGUUCUUUUUGUUGUUGAGAAAAACAAUUUUGAUUUACAUUGCAUUAUUAAAUUUAUGUUUUGGAAAAAUAUAAUUUUUGUUUUCUUAUGUAGAUAAGUAACUUUCAGUUGGUAAGAGUGUUCACUCUUAAAAUCUCAGCGUUGGUUCCCAAGAUUACUAGCACUGGUGUUUAGUAACUAGUCGAAAUUCUAAGAAGGGCACUAACGUUAUGAUAUUCCUUCUUCACUUGUUGAAUUAUUCUUAUGCUGAAUUAAAUUCACAAUUAAUAGGUCAUAUGAAUGCAUAAAGUGUUGAUGGAGGUUGUAAAAUAUGUUCAUUUCCACAACUUUGGCAGAUUGUGGCGAUUGUCUCUCGCAUGAUGAAUGGACAGCAAGCACCACCAGCGCGCACACACUAUUUUGAUCAUUCGUUCUCGGUGAACCCCUUAAUAUCCUAAAUUGACAUAGUCUCAAAAUAGAAUAGUAUUUGUUGAUGUUUGUAUUGAUUAACCCCACCCUUGAACAGGUUGUUUUGAGCAACCUGAAAUCUAAUGCAACCAGCCAGGUCAUCAUGGACAGAUGCCGCAUGUAUCUGGAUGCUGGUGUAUGGGGCCAUGAUUUGGGGACAUGUGACAUGGUAAAUAAGGGUUGUUAAAGUUCAUUUCCUUAGUAAUAUAUGCAAUGGCAUUGGACAUGACUAUUAUCUUAUAACAUAAAAGCUAAUAACUCUUUAAUGAUAAUGCAGAUGUUCAUACCGGUUUGUGAGACUAAGCAUGUGCAUGUUGUUAAUUUUGCAGUUGGAAGAGUUGAAAUUCUUUCCUCUUUGCCCCUCAGGCGGGGGAACAACAUUAGUUCUGCAACAAGACGAUUAUCAGUGGCAAUCCACAAAGCACUGCAUGCAUUUAGAGUUCAUAUAGACGUGGAUGUCUCAACUUUUAUGCAUGUCCAACCACACCUUGUCCAACAGCUUAAUGGGUAAAAUAUUCAUAUAUUCUAACCAAAAUGGACAUGUGUAGUGAAUUUUUUUCUCAGAUUUCUAUCAUUUACAUGACAAGCCUAAAUGUGAUGUGUUAUAGGUUCAACUGUGGUAUCCUCACACUAAAGUUCAUGGAAUUUUGGAAUGGGGCGACUUUAACUACUUCAGUGGCAGAGGUUAGAGCUGGUUUACACCAUAAUUAGAACUGUUAUUUUUAUUUAUUUAUUAUUUUUUUUACAACAUCAUGAAAUAAGUUUUUCCCAUUUCUGUAGGGCAAGCUGAACAUGUAUAGACUCCAGCUAGUUGUGGAACUAGUGCUCAAUGAAGGCAAUAGUUUUAGAGAUAAAAUUAUGGCCUCCUAUCAUUUGUGACUUCAUGGUUGAUGAUAAGUUUUUUCCUAUCUGAUGCUACUUAUCGUAUAAAGCAAUGAUUGAUUGUAGUUUGUCCACAAAUGACUGAAUUCAUAUCCUGUUAUGUGCUGAUGUGGUUUUGUUCCCAUUCUAAAACCAUUAUUUAUGUUCCAUAUAUGUUGUAUCUUAUUAAGUAUACUACAUCCCAUUGUAACAGUGGCAUUUUGGUGAUGCUGAAUGUCAGAACUUUAUGUACAACAGUGGGCAACGCGUAAGGGACAGAAAGAUUGCAUGGUGAUGCUGUUGCUAAGCCUACGGGAGGGAGUAAUAUCAGACUGAGUCAUAUGUGAUCCUCUUUCUUUAGAUUGUUUGAAGCAAACAUGGUUUACCAUAUGAUCAAAAUUAGGACACGGAUAAAUCAAUUAUUCAAUCCUCUUCAAAUGAGGAGAUUCAUCACUAUAAUAGGGUUGUUCAUUAAUGUGAAAUAUUGUAUAGGAAAUGGAGUAGGAACAUGGAGAAAAGUCAAUAUUUGUUAAUUUAUGAUGAUUAUUGGCACUAGUCCGUGGUGCAUUGGUGACUUUAUGGACAACAUCUGCGUUUGUAAGAUGUGAUCCAAAGUGAGGUUUAUUCUAGGGCAUCUUCUGUCAAUGUUAUACAUAGGCUGGAGGUUUGGUUGAGUUUGUUGACUAUAUUAGAAACAAUUUGCUGAUGUACAAAUUCCAUGGACUAUGUUUGUGUUUUGUUUUAUUCAGGAAAUCCUAAUGAAGGUCAGGCAUUUGUUACAUAUCCUGUCCAUUUUUUCCUUGUUCCAUGCCAGUGUCCUCUCCAACUGUAGUUCAAAAAUAAGGAUUCUUUAUAGAAGCAGAAUGCUACAAACCAUGGUGACAAAUUCAGGUCUUAUGGGUGAUGGUGAAGACAUGGGAUGGUAUUCGUAAGGAUUAAUUGAAGACUAUUGGCAGUGGUGAUUUUUUUAGAUUGUCAUGUGCUGAGAUGGACUUCAGCAUGUCGAUGAAAUUCCUCCUCCAUAUAUCACAAGUUUUUUUUUUCUUUUAGUUAAUAAAAAUCUGAUGAAAUCAUCUCAUGAAAAAUAAAGAGAAAUCUUAAGGUUUGGCAUCAGAGAAUGGGUGCAACAUGGGUUGUGUGGUGACAUAUUAAUGUGGCAACCUUGCCCGAAUAUGAUGAGAAUGCACAACCCACAAAAUGUCAACUAUCCAUUUUGCUCAUCAUUUUGUGAGGCUUUUAUAAAAUUGCCCUUGAAUAUCAAUAAUGUUAUUACAAAUAAUUAUAUUAAUAAUAAUUAAAAUACUAAUAUUAAUAAUAAUAAUAAUAUUAAUAAUAGUAAAAAUAAUAAUAAGCCAUGUGAUAUAUUUGAAUUGCUUGUUAUGAUUUGUAUUUCUUUUAAGAAGCAGUCAUGAGGUAACCUUCCAACAAAGACAAUCCGAAGUCCUAUUAGUUGUGAACUCGGGACAAUAAUAAUAGAGAAUGUUGUAAAUCACUGAACAUAACUACUAAAAUAGUGCCAAAUUUGAACCAUCCAUAAAUUUGUUGUCUUCAUGCUCACUAUUUCUUCUAAUGCCAAACACGGUAGACAUGAAUGUGCAACCAAAAUGAUUGGAUUCAGCCCUUGACAAAUCAUGGAUUAAGCCAAAAUGCCACUAUGUCCGUUCUCUCCCUAUUCAUCUCUGGCGCCGUUGAAAUCCUCAUCAUGUUCUUAAUAUUUGGCUCAACUCCUAGUCAUGAAGCAAAUUUCUCCCGAUCCUCCAGUCCCCAAGUUAACAUCAUUAGGGAAAUGAGAAUCUUGAUGUUGAUCUUGUAGGGCUGUCACUCGCUCUCCCAAAGGAAGAGCAUCCUCAGUUGCAAGGGUUAUACAGGGUUCGAAAAUGCUUCUACAUGUUGCUCAUGUUUUACUUCCAACAAUCUAUAGGUUGUGAUAGAAAAAUAAAUAUAUGUUAGAAAACCAAUAAAUUUUUGCUUCACAUGAUCACCUUCCAUAUCCAACCACAACCAACCAUAACCUUUCAAUAUCUAGAUAAACACCAAAAUGAGAAAACAACUAUUUACUUAAAUAAAUAGUCACAACAAAAUAUUGACAGAAGAGCAACAUUUCUCCAAGGUGCCUUAAGGUAGUACCUGAGGUACAUUAAGGUAGUACCUCAGGUUCAUUAAGGUAGUACCUUAGGUGCAAUAAGGCAGUACCUUAAAUUUAUGAUGAUUAUAUAAGCUACCGAAUGAGUAACCAAUAAGAACAUAACAAUGCCAUGCUGCAAUAUGUAAUGCAAUGAACUAAUUAUGACUUAAGUCACAAAAGAGCAACAUUUCUCCAAUGUGCCUUAAGGUAGUCCCUUAGGUACAUUAAGGUAGUACCUCAGGUUCAUUAAGGUAGUACCUGAGGUGCAUUAAGGCAGUACCUUAAAUUUUUGAUGAUUACAUAAGCUACCGAAUGAGUAACCCAUAAGAACAUAACAAUGCCAUGCUGCAAUAUGUAAUGCAAUGAACUAAUUAUGACUUAAGUCACAAAAGAGCAACAUUUCUCCAAUGUGCCUUAAAGUAGUCCCUUAGGUACAUUAAGGUAGUACCUCAUGUUCAUUAAGGUAGUAUCUGAGGUGCAUUAAGGUAGUACCUUAAAUUUAUGAUGAUUACAUAAGCUACCGAUGGAGUAGCCGAUAAGAACAGAACAAUGCCAUGCUGCACUCUAUAAUGCAAUGAACUAAUUAUGGCUUAAGUCACAAAAGAGCAACAUUUCUCGAAUGUGCAAUAAGGUAGUACCUGAGGUACCUUAAGGUAGUACCUUAGAUUCAUUAAUGUAGUACCUGAGGUGCAUUAAGGUAAUACCUUAAAUUUAUGAUGAUUACAUAAGCUAUUGAUGGAGUAACCGAUAAGAACAGAACGAUGUCAUGCUACACUCUAUAAUGCAAUGAACUAAUUAUGGCUUAAGUCACAGAAGAGCAACAUUUCUCCAAGGUUCCUUAAGGUAGUACUUGAGGUACAUUAAGGUAGUACCUCAAGUUCAUUAAGGUAGUACCUUAGGUGCAUUAAGGUAGUACCUUAAAUUUUUGAUGAUUACAUAAGCUACCGAAUGAGUAACCAAUAAGAACAUAUAAUGCCAUGCUGCAAUAUGUAAUGCAAUGAACUAAUUGUGGCUUAAGUCACAGAAGAGCAACAUUUCUCCAAGGUGCCUUAAGGUAGUACCUGAGGUAUUGUGGACCCUCACUCGAUCCACUCGGAUGGCGCGACUCGCUAUCUCUUUUUUUAAAAAGUAGUGUGGAAUGGAAUGGAAAAGUGGUUUUCGAGUUUUGAAAAAUCCUUUCCCGAUGAGGAACGGUUUUGUUUGGAGUCGCCACUUACUUCUUAUUUUUAUUUUUUAUAAGGGGAAAAAUUAAGUAAGAACAAAAACCCCUGAUGACUUGAGUAUGGAAAAAGCGGACUACGAAACUUGAGUCUGGGUUCGAGGAUCAGGUUACCUAUCGGGAAGGUACCUCAUGUGAGGUAACACCCCUCUAGGCCCGGAACUCGGUCUCUACUAUUGAAUUGGGCAUGUGAGAGUAUAUGGGUCAAGGAUCAAAUAGCCUCUUAGGCUAAUCAUAGACAACACGAAUCACACAAACCUACUCGAUAUCUAGCAUGCAUAGGCACUCAAUAAAUCAACAAAUGGCGUACCUGAGGACCCUAGCCAUGCGCUGUAGAAAAGAUCAGUCAAUAAGCAUCAAUGCACAACAAGCAUCGCAAUCCAAAUGCCAUGUGGGCAUACUAACAUAAAAGCUAACUAUCAAACACAUACCUGUGGUCCCUAGCCAAGCGUUGCAUAAAUGAUUAGCCAAUAGGAAUAAAUACUCAACAAGCAUUCAUGGCAAUCACAUGUCAAAACAUCAAUCACUAGAUACCAAGGCCCAAAAAUGAGCUCAAACCAUGGGUCAAAGUAAGUACGUUGGGUCCCUAGCCAAGCGCUGUAAUGAGGGGUUAGUCAACACGUGGCAAGCAUUUUUUAAACAAACAUCAAAAUGUGCCCAAGCCAAAUAUUCACAAUAAACCCCCCCUCCCCCCCUUCCUAGCCAAUAAUACCCUUAACUCAUAGGUGGACCCACAUUAAUUCAAACCAAAUCUGGAUUUAGACCCUAAAGGUGGCCUACAAGUGCCUUGGAGCCUAAGUGCCCAAACCAUAACAAAAAUGGGGGUCAAAACACGCUGAAACUGGAACUACCUAGUAGAAUCGGUUGAACUGGUUCCCAACUGGCUCAAUUGGUUGAGAAAAAAAAUCUGAAACUUUACCAGAAUAUUCCUCAGAGAAUAAGGAAUCCAACAAAAUAAACGACACUCAAUUCCAAGCCCGGAUGAGGGAGAACCGACCAAAACAAUGCAAAGCAUUUAUAAAACAGGGCUGCCACCAAGCCACCUGUUGAACCGAUUCCCAACUGGUUCAUCCGAUUGAGAAAAAAUUUGAAACUUUACCAAAAUAUUCCUUAGAGAAUAAGGAAUCCAACAAAACAAAUAGCACUCAAUUCUGAGCCCGGAUGAGAGAGAACCGGUUGAAACAAUGCGAUGUUUUCCAUAAAAGGCCAAACCCGAGCCACCCAAAAUGCAUUGUUUUCUUUAAAAUUCGCCACUUAAGCCAAUGCUUUAGUAGAUGCAAUUUUUCCAUAAGCUUUUAGCAUGCAUGCCUAAAAGGGCAAGGCCACAAAUGAAAGGGCCUACUUCCCAAACAAAUUAACCGUAUUUCUUACAAUCAAAGGAAAUGAACCAUGUCCCCUCCCUUGCCAAAUCUAGGACCAAUGAGGCCCCAGUGGCUGAAUGAUGAGCACAGUGGCUUAACCAAUAUGCCAUAACCUCUAAUCCUAAUUGAAAAACUGAAAUGGUCUACCCCAAAUUCCAAACAAAACAGUCUAAAGAGACUUUUUAUCAAAUCAAAACUAAAGGGAAUGGUUCCCUAAACUAAAGGUACAAGCCCCUUUUUGGUAUUUUGGAACCUAGCAUGAAAGCCCAAUGGCAACCCCAAAAAAAAAAAAAAUUUGAUUGCACUUCCAAACCUGAAACCAAUAACGCAGCAAGGACCUUCCUUGAAUGCCACAAGCAUAAUGCAAAUUUCCACCCUCACUAUGCAACCAAACAAUGGAGUUCUUACCCCAAACAUACAUGCAACCAAGAUCCUAAAGAAUACCAUUUAAUGAGCACAAAAGCCUUGCCUUCAUAAGCAAUCAGAUAUGACCAAAGCUUUAAACAGUUGCCUUAUAAGCCAUUAGGACUAUUAAUUCACUUUCCACAUUCAAGCUUAAAACAAACGAAUGCAUCAAAUAGUUAACCAAUGCCCUCUUUUUAUUUGCAAACUACUAAGGUCAAGGCCUUAGGGGCCAAUAAAAAAAACUAAACUUGGACAACCUUUGAAACCUAAUCAAAGAUCAGUUAGCCAAGAAAACCACACACAAGUAACAUUAGAAGAAAAUAAUAGCAGAAAAAAAGAAAUAAAAAAAAAAUAAAAGAAAAAACAGAGGAUCUCUAGUAGCAACCAAAUCACACAAGAGACCAGUUUAAUUCUAAAACCCAGAACCUUACCCACAAAUGGGCACCAAAACCCCAAAGGUCCUCUAGAUGCAAUGACAAGGGGAACCACAAAGGCCUUAUGAAGGAAGCAAAACAAACCUAAAUUGGGGGCUAAGGAACCCUCAUUCCAAACUUGAAUCCGAGCACCAGAGACCUUUGCUUACUCAAAGCAAAUCAAAGCUGGUUGCUAAUGAGAGAAAUACUUGCUUUGUUCACAAAACAAAUCACACCAUACAUGGGAGCUUAGGCAUGCAAUAACGAAAAUGCAAGGAUCCUAGCCUUAUCUUUCAUAUACCUUCAAUGACCAUUUCGAAUGCUAAAAAAAUAACAGACUCACUCUCGGUUGAAUCAGACAUGCAUAGUCUUAGACAACUUACAAACUUGACCAAAGACUAAUCAGCAAAGACCCUCAUUUUCUUGUCUAAACAGAUUAUUGCAACAAACCUCAGAAAGAAUGAAAAUAUAAAAUAGCAGAAAGCAGGAUCAAAGAGUUACCUAUGCAUGCGUUGAAGAUGCUGAGGUAGAAAUGAAGUCACUGGGGUAGCAAACGUCCAAGUUCCGCUUCCAGAAAUCAAGGCCUUCCCCUUCAACAACAUGAACAAGAAACUACUCCCUCUACAACCAGAAAAUCUCUCAAAACCUCCGUCUCCUUCACUCUUUCCUCUGUUUCUUUUUUCUAUUUUUUUUUCCUCUCUUCUUUCUUUUCCUUUAUCUCCCAACACACAAAAUUUUCUCAGGUCUAGAACUCUUCCCCCACACUCUUUUUUUUUUUUUUAAGCUCUCACCCUCUUCUCCUUUGGCUUUCACUUUUUUGACAAAGUUUCCUCCUAGAAUCCAGAGAGAGGUCCUCAUCUUCUUCCCUCUUUUGGAUUUUAUAUUAGACCCCUUUGUUCCUCCAGCUUCCAUUCAUUUUCCCAUGCAUUCAGCUCUGGAAAACAACCCUUCAACCUCGAAACCACACUCCCCAAUAACUCUCCUCACCAAUUCUCCAUGCAAGCUGACUCUUUUAAGUUUUUAGCUUGCUUCACCACCAAGGAUCCAUAUGGAUUCAUGGUGGGCUGCAAGAAACCCAAACCAAGGCCCAAAAUGGACCCACAAUAUAGCCCAAGACCGAUUUGGAGCUUAUGGGCCCAAGUCAUGUAGGAAUUGGGCUUCAAAAUCAUCAAAACUAGUGCUCCAUACAAGCUAGCUCGAUGAACCGGUUAAACUGGACGCCAACCGGUCGAACCGGUUGAGAAAAAUUAUGAAAUUUUGAAAAAAAAUUUCUGAAGAAUAAGGAGUCCAUGAAAAAAAAUGGUGCAUGAUUCUGAGGUUGGAUGAGGGAGAUAUGGCCAAAACAAGCCCGAGUGCUCCGAAUUCGAACUUGCUCCCAUGCAUUCUGCCAAAACUGAAACUUUGGGGACUGGUCGAGUCGGUUGAGAAAAAUUAUGAAAUUUUGAUAGAAUUUUUCCUAAAGAAUAAGGAGUCCAUGAAAAAAAACGGUACACAAUUCUGAGGUCGAAUGAGAGAGAUAUGGCCAAAACAAGCCUAAGUGCUCUGAAUUCAAACUUGCUCCCAUGAAUUCUGCCAAAACUGAAACUUUGGGGACCGGUCGAUCCGGUUGAGAAAAAUUAUGAAAUUUUGAUAUAAUUUUUCUUGAAGAAUAAGGAGUCCAUGAAAAAAAACGGUGCACAAUUUUGAGUUCGGAUGAGGGAGAUAUGGCUAAAACAGGCCUAAGUGCUCCGAAUUUAGACUUGCUCCCAUGCAUUCUGCCUAAACUGAAACUUUGGGGACCGGUCUAGCUCGAUGAACCGGUUAAACCGGACGCCAACCGGUCGAACCGGUUGAGAAAAAUUAUGAAAUUUUGAAAAAAAAUUUCUGAAGAAUAAGGAGUCCAUGAAAAAAAAUGGUGCAUGAUUCUGAGGUUGGAUGAGGGAGAUAUGGCCAAAACAAGCCCGAGUGCUCCGAAUUCGAACUUGCUCCCAUGCAUUCUGCCAAAACUGAAACUUUGGGGACUGGUAGAAUUUUUCCUAAAGAAUAAGGAGUCCAUGAAAAAAAACGGUACACAAUUCUGAUGUCGAAUGAGAGAGAUAUGGCCAAAACAAGCCUAAGUGCUCUGAAUUCAAACUUGCUCCCAUGAAUUCUGCCAAAUUAAGAUAAGUGUUCAUUAAAUCUAAAAUUCACAAAUAUUUUUCUUCAAAAGAUUGAUAUUUCUUUAAAAAAAAAAAAAAAAAAAUCUGUUAAUAAAAAAAAGGUAUUAUUUUCCAAAUUGAAAAUGAGAUUCUAGAUUUAAAUAAAUGAUAUUGGAUAAAAAUGGAAUGAACGUUUUUUUCUCUUUAGAAAUAGUUGCUGAAUAUAAUAAAACCUAAAAAAGAGUUGGGAUAUAAGGAACCGCCAUAUCUUCAACUGAAUUAGUCCGUUAAUCUUUUGGGCCCAGCCCAGGAAACAACUAUAUGCCAACCGAAAAAUCUCAACCAACGGCUAGUUUUGUAAUUUCAAAUAGGAUCUUUCCCAAAAAAGAAGUAAGAUUUCUUAUGGAAUAGGUGAUAAAGAAACAAUAAUGACAUCCAUCCACAUCAAUUAAAGACAAUGAUCAUUUUUUUUUUCUUUUUUAACCUGACCAUCCAAUGGAUAUAAAAAUACAAAAAUGAAUUUUCUAAUAGAAUAAGCAUUUAACAAAAAAUAAAAAAUAAAAAAAUUACAUGAAUGAACAAGUGACUUAAGAGUCUGAUUGUCUCGAAUACUUGGAGAGUUUUACAUGAAGGGUUGGAUCUUUCUUCUUCUUCUUCUUGAAAUGUUUUGAGGCCGCUUUCAGCACCUUGCUCCAUCCCUGUUACAUUAAUUUCACUAUAAUUUAAUAAAAUCCAAAAAAGGAAAAAAAAAAUUGUUGAUGACAUUAUAGAUUCCCCUUUAGAGGUGGCUUCUUUUCCCCAAAUUUUCCCAUAAAUUCCAAGCUUUUUCCAUGUGAGACAAAGAAUGAGGAAAGGGCCCUCUUUCAACAUUUUCUUUCCCCCUUUUCUCCUUAUCCAAACAGAUCCAACACGGAGGCCAAUUUUCCCUAUUGGUUUCCCAGUUUCCUCAAAUGGGUAUAUCCAUUUGAGCUUCAACAACCCAAAAAUGGCUGGAAAAUUUUUCAAAAAAAUAAAAACAAAAAUGGAAAAUAAAAGAGUGGUUACCUUUGUGGAAGGAGGAGUGGGAGAGAAGUGAUCAGGGGGCUUGAUGAAACUCCUCCUCCUCUUCUUCUGCUUCUUCUUAAACAUAGUGAAGAUGUUGUUCUUAAGAUUAGCGGUGACCUUCUUGAGAGUGGUUUUAUCCAAACCCAACCUGUAAGACAACUUCGGAGGUGGCGUUCCCAAAUCCCAGUCCAAAGCAAGAGAUUUUUGAGGGCGAGGCACCAAUGGAGACCAGAUUGAGCUCUGUGAGUAGUCAAAAUCAAAGGCAGAGGUGUCUGGGAAUUUGCCGAGAAGCUCUUCGCACAUGGAUGAUUCCACAUACUCCACCACUUUUAUCAGCCUCCCUUCUUCUUCUUCCUCUUCUUCUUCUGGUACUGCUACUGCUACUGCUACUGCUAAUGCUGAAGACAUUGAGGAAUUGUUUUCUGUGAAUAAAGAAGCUCAAUCACUUUGCCGUUUUUUUCUUUUCAGUUGCUUCGAUUUCUGUAAGGAAAAGUGGAGAAGAUGAUUGUAUAGGAUGAAUGUGGGAAAAAGUUACCGUUGCAAAAGUCUAUUGCUUCCAAAAGGCCUUGUCUUUUCCUCUUCCCGUUUUGCCCUUCACUUGUUUUCGUUACUCUGUCUUGGUGGUCAGAUAGGGCCCAAGGGCUUCAAAGGUAAUUUCAAGGUAACGGUCCGGUUCUGUCCUACUCUUAACGUGACAUCCGUUGCCGUGGAUGUUGAAAUUUAUUAUUGUUUUUCCAAUUACAAUUGUUCAAUUUAAUGAUCGUUUGAUUAGAAUUUUAGAAGAAAGAUAACAAUUUUUAGGGUACCCAACAAAGAACAAAAUUCAUGGAUACUUUUGUAGUACCAAACGAUAAUUUAUAGGUACCGUAUCCAAAAAUCACCACCACUCAGAUUCUAGCUUUUUCUUUAUAUACAUAUUCGAUAAUUAAGAUAAGAAAUUAGAUGGGUUGAUACUUAGGGCCUUAACAUUCCCAACUUUUAUACUUUGUUUUAGUUAGAAAAAAUAUUGUUAAGAAAAAUAAUGUUUUUAUAUAUGAUAUAUUAUGAAAUUUGUAUAAAAUGAAAAAUAAAUCAAAUAAGUUUGAAAAAAUAUGUAUAAAAAUAAUUUAUUAAUUUGUUUGAUUCCAACAAAAGAGAUAAAUUAUUAAGAAAAAUAAUUUUCUUAUUUCAAAGAAAUAAAAAAAAAUAGUUUAUUAAAUUUAUAUUAUUUAAUCUUUAUAUAAAAGAAAAUGAGUUUAAAGAAGUACAUAAGAAUAAUUUACCAACUUUAAAUCUUUUUUUUUUCCUUUCAUUUUCUUUUCUUUUCCAUUUCUAUUUUGUUUCUUUAGCAUUUUUCCACAAAUGUUCCAACAACUAAGUAUAAUUUUUUUUUAAAAAAAAGAAAUUGUUAUAUUUCUAUUUUUCUUUAAAAAAAAAUGUUUUCUCAUAAUUUUUUCUCUAAUUUUCAAAAUCCAUGUAUUGGGUUAAUUCUUCUUUCCAAACAUAAAUGUGAGAUUAUUUAAUAUCUUGUACUUAAGUUAAAAAAUAUGUACUUAACUUUAAUUAAGAAUUAUGUAAGAAAAUAAUUAUGCUUCAAAUAUUUUCGCAUUUUGAUUUGUUACAUGGCAUGUAAACCAUUUAAAAAUAAAACAAAAGAUAGAAAGAUUCAAUCAUCUCCCAAAAAAGAUGAGUCAAAGCAAAUGGUUAAUUAGUUUUAGGCUUUCAACUAACUCUAGUUACAUCCAUGUCUAUGUAUAAAACUCAAGAAGACUAGAAGUUAACUGAGUUGUUGUUACUAAUACAAAGAAAGCUCUUUGUAAUUAUUUUUCUUAGUUCAUCAAUCAAACAUGGUAUUAGAGCCAGAACGACUUACGUCUAUGGCUUAAGUUGCUGCAAUGAAUACCAAUCUCUCUUCAUCAAGCAUCUCCUGCACAAGUGGAACAACAUUGAUGGUGGUCCCCUCACUGAUGUUCUCAUCUACCAUUCCUCAACUAUCUUUGAAACUCACAAGAACAACUAUGGAUUCUAGCGUUCACAAAUUCUUCCAACUGUUCGAGCUCUUGAUCUUUAAAGAUAUUUGCUUGGAACAACGGUGUGUCUCUUUUGUUUCAUUUCAAAUGGAGAUGAUAAUUCUUCAAUAAUCAACUCAGAAUUUUUAAUCUGGAACAAAACAGACUAGUUCAUCAUGAGUUGGAUUUUUUAUUCUCUUUUAGAGUCGAUGUUUGGCCAUAUUGUUUGAUGAAAAAUUGUUACUGAAGAGUGGAGUACUUUCAAUUGAUUGUUUUUCAUCAACUCCAAGUUUCAGGUGCAACAUCUUCAAAAAUAAAUUGUAAGAAGUUUCAAAAGGCUCCCUGAGUAUUAUUGAUUAUUUUUUGCAAAUGAAAGAAAUUGCAGAUACUUUAUAAUUGUAUCUAAUAAAUUCAUCGAUGAUGAAUUGUUGAUGCACAUUUUUGGUGGUUUAAAUCAUGAAUUUGAUGUUAUAAUUGUCAAUCUUUAGUCAAGGAAAGAUUAUGUUUCUCUUGAAGAAGCUUAAUUCCUCCUUCAAAAACUUAACUCUGUUUCAAAUAUCCAUAUUGGUCCCUCUGCAAGUUUUGCUGCCAAACAAGGCCACAAAAUAAACAAUUAUCAAUUCUCUAAGGCUCCUAACAAUAGUUCUUUUCAUGGUGGUUGUGGUGGUCCAAGAAGAGAAAGCCAAAAUAAGCCUAUCUGUCAGUUAUGUGACAAAGUUGGUCAUAUUGCACUGAAAUGUUAUCAUCAUUUCAACAUUAGCUUCAAAAGACCACAACAAUAACCACAAUAUGAAAAUUAUGCUUCGCCACAAGGCACUCAUUUAAAGACAAUGCUCGAGCUUACUUUGCCAUGUUAGCCAUUGUUAAUGACCAUAAUUGGUACAUGGAUAUAGGAGCCACAAAUCACAUUACUGGUGAUCUCAAUAAAUUGACUCUCAAGAUAGGCUACAAAAAUAAGGAAAAACUUGUUGGAAAUGGUAAUUCUCUAAAGAUUUGUCAUAUUGGUUCUUCAACUAUAUCAUCUAAUUUUUCAUCACAACCAUUAUAUCUUCAUGAUAUCUUAAUGUGCCUACAAUUAUAAAAAAAUUAUUAAGCAUAUCUAAAUUCACCAAGGACAACAUUGUUGUUGAAUUUUAUGAUGAUUGUUGUCUUGUUAAGGACAAGAACACGAGGAAGAUUUUGAUGCAGGGCAACCUUAAAAGAGGGCUUUAUCAACUUGAUGUUCUAGUGCUCUUAGGAAGUUUAAAAUUUGUCUCAAAUUUUGGUUCUAGUUUUCCUUCAAUUUCUCUAGCACAAGUCAAAUCUAAUGAGGCUUGUAUUCAAAUUGUGAACACUUAGCAUAGCAUGCUUAGUCAUCCUCAUGCUCAAGUGUUAGCACGGGGAUGCUCAAGUGUCUUUAAGAACUGAGUACCUUUAAUUCUAUGAUGUCUGUCAAUAUGGAAAAGCUUGUCAGUAUAGGGACCUUCACCUAUUUUUUCUAUAGAAGGCUAUCAAUAUUACAUUCACUUUCUGGAUGAUUUUACUCACUAUGCAUGGAUAUUUCCAUUAAUGAAGUUAAAAUAUAAAACCAAAGGUAUUUUUCUACAAUUUCAAAUCUUGGUAGAAAGACAAUUCAAUAGAAAAUUAAAAUGUCUUCAAACUGAUUAAGAAGGUGAAUAUAGGCCUUUUUUUGCCUAUUCUAGCUCAACAAGGUGUAGUUUUCAAACAUCCAUGUCCUCAUACUCAUUAGAAAAAUGGAAGAGCAAAAUUAAAACAUAGACAUAUAGUUUAGCCUGGAUGAACACUCUUGGCACAAGCACACAUGCGUCUAUAUUUUUGGUAGGAUGUUUUUGUGAUUGUAGUGUUUUUUAUCAAUAGAUUACCUACCCAAGUUCUUAAUUAUACUUCUCAUUUUCAAUCUCUUUAUCACAGAAAACCAAAUUAUAAGGUUCUAAGGGUUUUUGGUUGUGUUUGCUUUCCUUAUCUAAGGCCCUAUAAUAAACACAAGUUUGCCUUUCAUACAACCAAGUGUGUCUUCCUUGGUUAUAACUUGGUGCAUAAAGGGUUUUGUUGUCUGAGUUCUCCAGGUUAGAUUUACACAACCAUGAGUGUCUUAUUUGAUGAAGAGCGUUUCCCUUUUGCUAUUGGUUUUCAAGUUAAAAGGUCUAGUGCUUCUAAUUUUGUUUUUGUUGCCACUAAUGAAACCAAUAUCUUUGGUAUGUGGCAUGUUCCCUCACCAAAUGAUUUUUUAACUUCUACUACAUCUAUUUUACCUUAAACAAUAGUUUCAUCAUCAUCUUUGGCUAGCGCACUUGUUGAAAAUAGAGCAUUACAACUUGUUGAAACUAAUACUGUUGAGGAUCCCAAUAUAUUACAAUAUGAGAAUCAAGUUAAUAAUGAGAAUCAAACUAUUAAGUCUAAUUCUUCAUCUAUUUAGAAUACUCAUCCCAUGCAAACUAGAUCCAAGUCUAGAAUUUUCAAACCAAAGGUCUUCUUUGCCAAACAGAAAAUAAAUACUUUAGUUACUGGACCUUUAAGUGUGGAAUAAGCUCUAUUGGAUCCAAAUUGGAAAAAGACAAUGGAUGAUGAGUAUAAUGCCCUUUUAUCAAAUAAUGCAUGGAGCUUAAUACCUUAUACAAAUGACAUAAAACUUGUGGACAAAAAAUGGAUUUUUUAAGUAAAAUAUAAUCCUAAUGGUUCUAUACAAAGAUAUAAGGCCCAACUUAUUGCUAAGAGUUUUCAACAAAUAGCAGGGCUUGAUUACUUUGAUACUUUUAGUCUUGUUAUCAAGUGAUCAACCAUUCUUGUAGUGCCUACUAUUGUUGUUACAAAAGGUUGGGAUAUUCAACAGAUUGAUAUUAGCAAUGCAUUUUUAAAUGGAGACCUAUAAGAAAUUGUAUACAUGUUUCAACCAAUUGGUUUUAUUGAUCAACAUGCUUCAUACCAUGUUUGCAAGCUACACAAGGGCUUAUAUGGUCUAAAACAAGUGCCAAGGGCUUAAUUUAACAAGCUUAAAACUGUUAUAUUGCAUUGGGGUUCUGAAAACUCAAAAUCUGAUACCAGUCUCUUCAUACUUAUCUGCAAGCAAAAUACCACUCUUGUUGGUCUAACCAAUGAUGAUAUUGAUUUGAUUUAGCAAGUAAUGAAGGAUUUACAUGAGAAGUUUGCAAUUAAGACUUUAAGUUUCAUGAAUUAUUUUCUUAGAUUUGAGACAUACAGAAAUCAAUCUGGUCUUUACUUAACCCAAACAAAAUAUACUUUGGAUAUUUUGGAGAAAGCUAAGAUGGCAAGAGUUAAUCCAAAUUCAACACCUUUUUUCAGUUGGGGUUAAUAAUUGCUUGGUUUUUCAUCGUUUAUUGGAUCAAAACAAAAUUUAUAACCUAAUUCACUAUUCUAGAGUAGCUUGUACCUGAUCAAAAAGUGGUUUUUGUACAAACUACUAUAGUAUAAUGGUUUUUAGGUGUCGUCCACUAGGAUGGAUUAUUCUCGGUAAUUAAGGCUUGAAUAAGAGGAUAAGAAAUGAUUGUGAUCAAGUGAAAUUGAUUUAAAAAUUCAUAGUGAAAAAUUAAUGUAACAAUGGUCUCAAAUUGAAAAGAAAAAUGAAAUGCAAAAUAGAAGAAAAUUAAUAGGAGAUGAAAUUCUUGGAGUUAGGAUUUUCUAGAAAAUAAUUUCCAUGGUGAAUAGAUGUUGAGAUUUAAUUUUCAUCAAGUUAGAUUGAAAACCUAAAUUUUCAUCUAAACCAAUUUUUGAUUUAGCUUUAGGUCUAGAUCUAAUUUCUCUUCAAAUUAGGUCAUUUAAUCCAAGAGAUCAAUUCAAUUCAUCUUAAAUUAUCUUCCAAUGAUUCACACAAUGCAACUAUUCAAUAUCAUCAAAUCCAGCUUUAAGAAUUUAAUGAAUCUAUCUAGUUUGCAUUGUAGAAGUCAUCCAAGACAAUUUGAAGAGAAAAAUCCUCAAAAUUCAAUUAAUCAAUCAAUUGGAUCAAAUCACAUUUGCAAUUCAAGCUCAUUUCUCUAAUUCACCAUAGAUCUUGCCUUUAGAUCCUCAUUCCUCUGAGAAAAAUGAGAUUUAGCCACUCAUGCUUGGAGAUUUGGUCUCACAAGACAUGUGUUGGCUAGUAAGAAAAUGAAAGAAAAUGAAGGAAAUUAAAGAAUUCUCUAGAGAGAUAAAAUCUGAAAAAUUCUACAAAUUAGAAAUAUCUAAAAAGCUCCUCAAAUGAGAAAAUCAAGUUUCUAUUUAUAGGCCAAGGUUAAGUGGACACUUGGCAUCAUCUAAGAGGUCUCCCGGAGGCUUCUUCACCAAGAAAUCUGGAGUUUAGUAAUAAAAUGGUCAUUUAACAAGAGAUUUAGCAAUGUCACACAAGAUCUAGCAAUUUCGCACGAGAUCUAGCAAUUUCGCAUGAGAGCCAACAAUUUCGCAUGAUUGUGUGAAGUCAAAAAUACAUCAGCACCAAUUUUCGCAUGGUCAUGCGAAAUCAACUUUGAGAUUUCCCUUUGAUUUGUAGCAAAAAAUACCUUUUGGUCCAUUUCAUAUGACUGUGCGAAAUUUUCGCAUGGUCAUGCGAAAUGGAAAUACAUAAUUUUUCAACUUUUUUUUGUCAUUUCUUCCAUUUCUUUCUUUUGAAUCCACUUCAAUCACCUCCAAAUCAAUUCCAAAUCCCAGUCCAAACUAAUUACAUUACUUUUGUCAUUAUGCAUUUGGAUCUUCAUCAACUUUAUUUAUUCUCUUCAAUUUGAUUGAUCUCUUUUGUCACCAAUUUAUCGAAAUCAUACCUUGAAAUGAGUCCAAAACUUCAUAAAACUUGUUAGUAACUCUUGCAAGGGCAAUAACAUGUUAAUUGAGUGUUUUAGGCAUAAUUAUUACUCAAAAGAUGUGAAACUCAUGAAAAUUAUUAUCUAAGAUAUGCUCUUUUGAGUAGUAAUCAUUCUCCCCAACCAACGCAUUGCUAGUCCCUUAGUAAUGGUAUGACAAAAAGGAAGAAAAACAAUACCAAACAAAAGAAAUCAUAAGUCACAUAAGCAAAUCAUUUGAAAAAAAAAAUCUUUAAAAUUUCCAUAGCAUAAAUGAUUGAUAAACAAGCACACCCUACUAUCCAUAGGUAUCAACAAAAUCCCAACUUAUUUACUAUCUCUAAUAGAAAGAAUAUCAUGCAAAUCAAGGUAUCAAAAACAUAUCCAUCUUCAUUCCCCAAACAAUUUUUCCAAACAAGUCUUGAGUGUAAUUAAGCUAGCCCUCGAAUAUAGUACUCAAAACUAAUCCUCCCCCCAACCAAUCUCAAUUUAUCUCAAACAACAAAAAUCACUCUCUCAUAGGUUAAGAACGCACUUAUAUUUAUUUUAUUAUUAUUAUUUUUUUCAAAGGACUUAUUGUAGGAGUGUUAUGCUAAAGGUAUCUCCAAGUAUAUGGUCCAUGUAGCGGGGAUUCAUUAAUGACUCCCAACCAUAAUGCAUAGGGCACCAAGUUUAUAAGACUAUUUAACUAGCCAUUAACUCCUCGGACUUCACCUCGGACUCCUCAAAUUAGGAUCCAAUACCUUAGCACCUACAAUUGAACUCAUACUCCACCUAUUCACCCAUGUAACGAGCAUUGAGGUCGGUGGCUCCCAACCAAAAUGGCUUAGGGCACUGGGCUUCAAAGACCUUUGGGUCAUAUACCCCUCGGACCUUGCUCAGGUUUCAAGGCAAGCAUAACUCAACCUUUUUAUUCAUCAACUUUUUUUUUUCAAAUUAGGCACAUUGGCUUCUUUUUAAGGUGUCUCAACUCAAUUAAAGAGUAAUCAAUGUUACAAGAUAAUUAAGUCCAAGUCUUAAGGUUAGACUAGUUUUUCAUCUUAUAUUUGGGGUCUAGAGUGCACAAUAUGUGUUAAAACUCAAAUCGAAAUGACCCUUUGGAAAAUAAAGACUUCAAAGUCAAAUCAACUUUAAUUUACAUAACAAAUUUUUUAAGAUCAAGCAAAUAAGCUAGUAUUCUAAAUCAACUUUUUCAAGUUAGGUUUGAAUCAUCUAAAAAAAAAAAUUCAUCAAAUAAGUCACAAAUGUGAUUUAUGAAAAAAAAAUCUAAAAAAACUAACAAAACUAACAACAUAUUUCCUUCUCUUACUUUCUAACCCUUCCCCCAACCAAACAUGUACAUUGUCCUCAAUGUGUAAUGAAAAUAUACAAAGAAAGGAAGGGAAGAUACCUCAAUCUCUCAUGAAUUUCAGCUUCAAUAGCUAAAACAAAAAUAAAAUCACACAUGAGAAUUGUUGGAUAUGAAUGGCAUAAGAGAAGAAAAUAUGAAAACAAAUUUAUUAAAAACCAAAAAACUAUGUUAGAGACACAAUGUGUGGAGUAAAAUCAAGGUAUAGAUGAUGAUCAUGUCCAAAGAAAACAUGAUUUCAAUGAUAAGUCAAUGAUUCACAUGGAGUUUUUUAAAAUUUCUCACAAGUGUCUAAACUAGACAAGAAGGUGAAAUAUGUUGCAAUUACUCUCUUCUUUUAAAAGAAUUUGGCACAAUCAUGUGAAAAUUUGCAUGUACAUACGAAUUGGUCAAGAGAGUUCUAUCUUAUUAUUGCCUUUAGCAGAAUUUUUGCAUGGUCAUGCGAAAGUUUACAUAAUUAUGCGAAUUAGUCCAGAGGCUUAAAACUGUUGCAAUCAUCCACAUCAGUUUCGCACAGUCAUGCGAAAAUUUUGCAUGAUCAUGCGAAAUGAGACAUAGACUCAUUUUUUUGGAUUUUCAAAGCUAUAAAAACUCCCCUGUUUAUUGCAUGAAUUCUCUUGUUUUUGCGUGAACAUGCAAAAUGGUGAUGAACCAUUAAAACUCUUUUUUCCUUUGCCUCAUGCAUUCUAUCCAUCCGAAAAGUCCUUCAAAAUACAAAUCAAAGAGUUGAGAUGGAUUUAUUUAAUGGAAACUAAAAGAAAAAUAAUAAAAAAUCAAAAUUCAAAGGAAAGUAGAGAAAUGAGAAACCAUUGGGCUAGCUAGCCAUUGACAUGACUAAGCCUAUUAACCUUUGCAUCAAUACUCAAUUUGGAUAUGACUUGCAAACAAUGAAUGGACCAACUCCUUGAUACUUAAGUUUUCUCAUAAAAACAUGUGGCUUGAAAUAGCCUUCUUUGAACUUGUUCUUUUGAAUAAGUUGGCCAUACCAUUCCUUGAGCUUUUUUUUUUUCAUGGUCUUUAAAUUAUUGUGCACACCAUGCUUCAUGGUUUUCACUUUCUUCAAGCUGAAAGACCAUUUCAUUAACUUCAAAAGUUCAAUUUCUUCAUUGAUCCUCCAAAUUUCAAUCUGUUCAUUAGAAAUUACUUCACCAAGUUUUGAAAAAUUAUCUUCAACAUUUUCUUUCACUAGAUUUUCCAUAGGUAAUUCAAUCAAAUAAGCCUUUAUAAGCCCCCUUUCCUCUUUAGUACCAUACUUCUUACAUGAAUGAAAAAUGUUCAACUCAAUUGUCAUGUUCCCAAAGGUAAGUUGCAUCACCCCACUUCGACAAUUAAUCAAUACAUUUGUUGUGGCAAUGAAAGGUCGACCAAGUAUAAUAGGAACAUGGUUGAGUCCACUAAUUCCUUGUUCCGUAUCAAACACCACAAAAUCAACUAGAUAAUAGAAAUUAUCAAUUUGGAUCAACACAUCUUCAAUAAUUCCUCUUGGAAACUUAACCGAUCUAUCCGCCAAUGAAAGUGUGAUGGAAGUAGACUUUAGUUCUGGAAGCCCUAAUUGCAUAUAUAUUGAGUAGGAAAGAAGAUUCACACUUGCACCCAAGACUAAAAGUGCUAUUUUCACAAAAGUGUUGCCAAUAUUCAACAAGAUAGUUGGACAUCUUGGAUCCUUAUACUUGAUUGGAGUCUUGCAUUGGAUGAUUGCACUAACUUGUUCAGUCAAGAAAGCUUUCUUUUUCAAAUGCAUCAUUCUCUUUAUGGUACACAAAUCCUUAAGACACUUGGCAUAGGCUGGAACUUGUCUAAUCAUGUCAAGGAGUGGUAUAUAGACUUUUACUUGCUUCAAAACUUCAAAAAUUUCUGAAGCAUUAUUUACCAUCUUCCUUGAUUGAAGAGCCAUGGGAAAAUGUGGAGAUAAGAACAUAUCCUUGUUCAUUUUAGCUUCACUCUUCUCCUCCUUUUCUCUUUCAAAAUUUUCAGUCUUUGUUCUUUUACUCUUCUUAUCAUUUUCAGUCUUCACUUCCUUCUCUUUUGGUUUUGGCAUAGGUUGAUCAACUUGCUUAACACCUCUUAAGGUAAUGGUUGCUUUGACUUCAUCAUACUUAGUAUAACUUUCACUUGUCUUUCCAAUUUUAUGGACUUGACUUGGAUUUUGUUGGGGUUGUGAAGAGAAUUUUCGUUUUUCUUGCACCUUAUGCAUGUUUUUGAGUUUAGAAAUAGCAAGCUGCAUAUUAUCAAUCUUUUGUGUGAGAUUGGUUUGCAAGCUAUCAAAUUUCUGAUUGAAAGAUGUCUCCACAUGAUCUAUCAUUUGAUUUACUUGAGUAGUGAUAUUCUUUUGAUCACUAAUAAAAUCUUCUAAAAUUUUACUCAAGUUUACAAUAGCUUGCUUAGCCAAAGAAACUCGUUGUGAAGAGUCUUCCAUGAAUUGUUGGCUUUGUGAGUAUUGACUUGAAGAAAAAUACUCUUGUCCACAAUUCCAUGACAUGUUUGGAUGAUUAUCAACAAGUCUUUCCCCCAUAGCUGGUAUUGUAGGACAAUCACUCACUUCAUGUUCUAUAGAUUGACAACUAGAACAUUGCUCCAUGUAAAUUGUAUUAUCAUAUAUUGCAUUCACCUCGUGAAAUCCCUUAGCUUCAAGUUCCUCUAGCCUUUUUGUCAAAGCUAUCAUUUUAGCUUGUAGAUCAACAUAUUUAUUCAACAUAUACAUUCCUCCAUUUGAAUUGCUUUGAGACUUGGACUUGUGUGAAUCCCUUUCAUGUGGCUCAUCCCAUGACCUUGAUAUUUCAGCCACAUAAUUCAAAAAUUCAAAGGCUUCAUCGGGACUUUUGCUCAUAAAGUCACCUCUACACAUGGUUUCUAGCAAUUGCUUCAUAGUUGGCGACAUGCCUUCAUAGAAGUAACUCACCAACAUCCCUGUCUCAAAACCAUGAUGAGGACAAGCAUUGACUACUUCCAUAUAUCUUUCCCAACAAGCACAAAAUUUUUCAUUGUCCAGUGCCACAAAGUUAGUAAUUUGCCUUUUCAAGCCACUUGUGCGAUGUAUGGGAAAAAAAAUUCUUCAAGAAGGUUGUUUAUAGUUCCAACCAUGACCUUAUGCUUUGGGGCCUCAAUGAGUUAAACCACAACUUAGCCUUAUCCUUUAAUGUGAAUGGAAAAAGCUUUAAUCUCAUAAGCUCUAUGAAUGUAUUUCCCUCAUGAAAUGUAUGACAUACUUCUUCAAAAUCCUUUAUAUGAGUAUAAGGAUUCUCAUUCUCCAUUCCAUGAAACUGAGGGAGAAGUGGUACCAAGUGAGUUUUUUUUUUAUUUUUUAUUUUUAUCACAAUAGGCUCAUUAGGAAGAACUAUACAUGAUCUCACGCCUAUCCUUUGAGGAUUCAUAAAUUCUCUCAUUGAUCUAGACAUGUGAGAAUUGCCAUUGCUUGGUCCUUGUUGAGUUUGUUGAUUUUCCCCUUGAUUUUCCAUUUCCCCAACAAUUGGAUCACAAACUAAAGAUGAUUAGCAAUGUAAGUCCUUUGUAAUCUCUCCCUUGAGUUUUAUUCUAAAUGUAGCAUGCAAUGGAGAGCCUACAAAACAAGCUAAAAAAAAAAACCAAAACAAACCAAGAAGAACAAAAAGAGAAAUAAAAGAUAAAAAUGGAAUUAAAAAAAAAUGGAGAAUCGGUAAAGAAAACUUCAACAAUCUUGUGAUGUGGAUCACAGGGGCUAAUCCUCACGAAAAAAUUUGCCUCAAUAACCUUAGCACCAUCCCCAGCACCAGCAUCAUUUUUGAUCGCUUGGUUUUUCGUCGUUUAUUGGAUCAAAACAAAAUUUAUAACCUAAUUCACUAUUCUAGAGUAGCUUGUACCCCAUCAAAAAGUGGUUUUUGUACAAACUACUGUAGUGUAAUGGUUUCUAGGUGUCGUUCACUAGGAUGGAUUAUUCUCGGUAAGAAUGAGAGGAUAAGAAAUGAUUGUGAUCAAGUGAAAUUAAUUUAAAAAUUCAUAGUGAAAAACUAAUGUAACAAUGGUCUCAAAUUGAAAAGAAAAAUGAAAUGAAAAAUAGAAGAAAAUUAAUAGGAGAUGAAAUUCUCGGAGUUAAGAUUUUCUAGAAAACAAUUUCCAUGGUGAAUAGAUGUUGAGAUCUAAUUUUCAUCAAGUUAGAUUGAAAACCUAAAUUUUCAUUUAAACCGAUUUUUGAUUUAGCUUUAGGUCUAGAUCUAAUUUCUCUUCAAAUUAGGUCAUUUAAUCCAAGAGAUCAAUUCAAUUCAUCUUAAAUUAUCUUCCAAUGAUUCACACAAUGCAACUAUUCAAUCUUAUCAAAUCCAGCUUUAAGAAUUUAAUGAAUCUACCUAGUUUGCAUUGUAGAAGUCAUCCAAGACAAUUUGAAGAGAAAAAUCCCCAAAAUUCAAUUAAUCAAUCAAUUGGAUCAAAUCACAUUUGCAAUUCAAGCUCAUUUCUCUAAUUCACCAUAGACCUUGCCUUUAGAUCCUCCUUUCUCUGAGAAAAACGAGAUUUAACCACUCAUGCUUGGAGAUUUGGUCUCAUAAGACAUGUUUGGCUAGUAAGAAAAUGAAAGAAAAUGAGAGAAAAUGAAGGAAAGUAGAGAAUUAUCUAGAGAGAUAAAAUUUGAAAAAUUCUACAAAUUAGAAAUAUCCAAAAAGCUCCUCAAAUGAGAAAAUCAAGUUUCUAUUUAUAGGUCAAGGUCAAGUGGACACUUGGCAUCAUUUAUGAGGUCUUUCGAAGGCUUCUUCACCAAGAAAUCUAGAGUUUAGUAAUAAAAUGGUCAUUUCGCACGAGAUCCAACAAUUUCGCAUGAUUGUACGAAGUAAAAAAUGCAUCAACACCAAUUUUCGCCUUCAUGGAGCAUUUCGCAUGUUUUGCAUGGUCAUGCGAAAUCAGCUUUGAGAUUUCCCUUUAAUUUACAACAAAAAUGUCUUCUGGUCCAUUUCACAUGACUGUGUGAAAUUUUCGCAUGAUCAUGCGAAAUGGAAAUACAUAAUUUUUCAACUCUUUUUUGUCAUUUCUUCCAUUUCUUUCUUUUGAAUCCACCUCAAUCACCUCCAAAUCAACUCCAAAUCCCGGUCCAAACCAAUUGCAUUACUUCUUUCAUUAUGUAUUUGGAUCUUCAUCAACUUUAUUUGUUCUCUUCAAUUUGAUUCAUCUCUUGUGUCACCAAUUUAUCAAAAUCAUACCUUGAAAUGACUCCAAAACUUCAUAAAACUUGUUAGUAACUCUUGCAAGGGCAACAACAUGUUAAUUGAGUGUUUUAAGCAUAAUUACUACUCAAAAGAUGUGAAACUCGUGAGAAUUAGUAUCUAAAAUAUACUUUUUUGAGCAGUAAUUAGUUAAGUUACACUUAAAUGAUAACAAAUUAUUUGAGUAACCCUUCCUAUAUUGAAGUAUCAUUGGGGGGCUUCAAUAUUUGACUAUGACUCAACCUAAUAUAUCCUUUACUGUAAACAAACUUAGUCAAUUUCUUUAUGCACCUACAAAUCAACAAUGGCAAGCCUAUAAAAGAGUACUGAGGUAUUUAAGAGGCACAAUUGGACAUGGCUUGAAGUUUCAACUAAAAAAAGCUUUGGUCCUUGAAGGAUUUACCGAUGCAAAUUAGGUUAGUAACAUUGAUGACAAGAGAUCUACAAGUGGUUAUUGUAUUUUUCUUGGAGGAAAUUUGAUUUAAUGGAGUUCUUGAAAGAAAAAAGUUGUAGCAUGUUGGUUAUGUAUUGAGAGUGAGUAUCAAGUUUUAGCUCAAGCUGCUACUGAAAUAGUUUGGCUACAAAUUAAGCUUGUUUGUUGAACUUGGACUCAAAACUAUGCAUAGUCCUAUAUUGUGGUGUAACAACAUUGAAGUAAGAUCCUUAGCUUCAAAUCUUGUGUUUCAUGCAAAAAAAAAAAAAAAAACACAUAGAGAUUGACAUUCAUUUUGUGAGACAAAAAGUUAUUGCAAAAGAGCUAGAUAUAAGGUAUGUGCCAACUGAAGAACAAAUUGUAGAUCUAUUGACUAAGCCCUUAACCACUACUCGGUUUGAACUACUUCAUGACAAACUCAUCUUUGCCAAGGCAUAACAUUGCUUGAGGAAGUGAGUUGAAGCAAGUGGUUAAUUAGUUUCAACUAACUCUGUAAUUAGUUCGCAGGACUAACUACUUUCUAUUACAGAAAGUUCUCUAUGCUUCCAGAAUUCUCUAGUUACAUCCAUGUCUAUGUAUAAAACUUAAGAAUACUAUAAUUGUUUUUCUUAGUUCAUCAAUCAAACUAGACAUAGUUAUGCUGAAAAAGAUAAUUAUCUCACUUGCAAACAUAUCUGGGUGGAAUUAAAAACAGUUAAUUUAUAUUGUAAUGAUCAUUGAUAUUAAUUAAGAAGAAUAUUCGGCUCUUAAUUUGAGAAUGUAUCAAUUUGGAAAUUCCAACAAUUUGUUUAAUAGUUGCAAAUGAUAAAUUAUAAUUUAGGAAUAAAAAAAUAUUAAUUGUAUAUUUUUAGUUUUUUUCCGUUUUCCACUUGACACAAAUAUUGCAAUUUUUUAUUAAAUUAGUUUGUUUAGAACAUUAUUUCAAGAACAAAAUUAAGAAAAGAUAAUUUGAUAUGAAAUAAAAGUCCGAAAUAAAUUAUUUGUUAUUUGAUAGAAAACUUGAUAGUAGUAAAAUAUGUUUAUAUAUAUAAAAAAUUUUCUUACUGUAGACCCCUGUUAAGGUGAAGGCCUGGGGGAGAAUUGGGAGGGGUUUUUUUUUUUCAUUUUUUCACUGCAUUUUUUGGAGAGUUGGGGGGGGGGGGGGGGGGGCGGGGGGCCUCCUCUAGGCAUGGGACGUGUCAGGUUGGUAGUUGAGGAGGCCAUGCUGCUGAUGUGAUGAACAGGGUGAUGAGGAAGAAGACAGAAACCAGCUGAGGGGCAAGAGGAUAGCAGGGAGCAAGGGUGAGGAGGAAGGAACUUGAAGCCUAGCUAGUCUUGAGAGAGUCCACUUACAGGUACGAACCUCAUGUCUUUCACCUUCCAUUAUUCUCCUAUCCUUCCUGACGUUUUUUUUAGUUCUAGUCCUAAACCAUAAUUUGUUUACUUUGUUUACUUUGGUUAAAUUUAGUCCUCUGCAUACAUGCUUUGUUCUUGGUUUUUUUUUUUUUUUCUUUGUUUCGUUUUCUCCCACCCCUUGGAGCUGGUUGCAACUGACGAACCCCUAAAGAGGAGCACUGAAUCAGUGCCAAUCCAAAGCGUUUCUUACGCUAUGAAACCGAAGAACUCCUCCUGCUUAUCUGUAACUCCGAUGAAAUGGACUUUGACGAUGUCGUUUCUGUUAUCCAUGACGAUGAGGAGCUUCAACCUGGACAACCCUAUUUCGCGCUGCCAUUGGGCAAGUUGAAGCAACCGCUUCAGGCGGAGGAGAUGGCCGCUUUGGCUGUCAAGGCGAGGUCCGCCCUCAUGAGGAGUGGCGGAGACCAAUGCCAGUGUCGCCAAAAGUCUCCAUUGCCGGCCAUGUUUUCUGGCGAGAAGGACUCGAAGUCGUCCGGGAGAGUAGCUCCCGGCGGUGGUGUCGAAGGCGGAGGAGGCAGUGAGACGGAGGAGUACGUGGAUGCGCCGUGAAGAGGACGCACGUAGGCUGCCGUUCUCUGGCGCUUAUUCCGACGUGGUGGCGUCGCCAUUGCCGCCGCGGGAAGGUGGUGAUCGUGCUGAAGCCAGGCGCGGGGGGGCGUGCUGUGAAGAAGAUGAAGUUUGGGCUUGGGCUUGAGUUGGGGCACUAGGCCCAAUUUUGUGAUGGAGAUAGGUUUUGGGCUUACCUAUGUUGGUUUUUGGUUUUGGGCUUACCUAUGUUGGUUUUUGGUUUUGGGCUUGCCUAUGAUGGCUUUGGUUUUGGGCUUAAGUUGGAGCCCAGGCCCAAGUUUGCUGAUGGAAGGCCCCAUUGCUCCUUAUGCUAGCCACUCUCAUGGCCCAAGUCCAUGAUGAGUGAGCCCAUUUAGCUACUUCAUGUCCUAACAAGUUUUAAAUCUUUAAUCUUAGUAAAUUAUUAACUUAUUCAUGCAUUUUCAUUUUACUUUUUUUAUCUUAUUUUAUCUUCACUAAUUUAGUUAGCUCAAACUUAAAGACAACUUAAAGACAAAUUAUUAAUUAUAUUUUUAUCUCGAAAUUUAUACUAUUCAAUUUCACUAGCUUAAACAUUAUGAUUAUUAAUUAUUAUUAUUAUUUCGCAUGUAUCUAUUUAUCAUAUUUCAAAAAUCUCAUUUUAUUAAAGUUAAAAUUCUAAUCCUUCAAAAUCCUAUGUCUUAAUUUAAUUCUUCGAAUAUUUGUUUAAAUCUCAUUUUCAUCCAUUAGAAUUAUUUAUCUCAUAUUUAUCUAGCUAUUUAAAGUCUAAUCUUUUAAAAAUCCUAUGUUUUAAUUUAAUUCUUCAAUAAUCAGUUCAAAUUUCAUUUUCAUCCAUUAGAAUUAUUUAUCUCAUAUUUAUCUAGCUAUUUAAAAUCUAAAUCCUUUAAAAAUCUAAUGUCUUAAUUUAAUUCUUCAAUAAUUAGUUCAAAUCUCAUUUUCAUCCAUUAGAAUUAUUUACCUCAUAUUUACCUAGUUAUUUAUAGUCUAAUCCUUAAAAAAUCCUAUGUCUUAAUUUAAUUCUUCAAUAAUUAGUUCAAAUCUCAUUUUCAUCCAUUAGAAUUAUUUAUCUCAUAUUUAUCUAGCUAUUUAAAAUCUAAAUCUCUCAAGGAAAUCGUAUGUCUUAAUUUAAUUCUUCGAAUAUUUGUUUAAAUCUCAUUUUCAUUCAUUAGAAUUAUUUAUCCUACAUUAUCUAGCUAUUUAAAGUCUAAAUCUUUCAAGGAAAUCUUACGUCUUAAUCUAAUUCUUCAAUGAUUAGUUCAAAUCUCAUUUUCAUCCAUUAGAAUCGUUCGUCCCAUAUUUAUCCAGCCAUCUAAAGUCUAAAUCUUUCAAGGAAAUCAUGUCUUAAUUUAAUUCUUCAAUAAUUCGCUUAAAUCUUGUUUUCAUCAAUUAGAAUUAUUAUCAUAUAUUUACCUAAUUAUUCAAAGUCUAACCCUUCAAAAAUCUCAUGUCUUAAUUCAAUUUUUCAACAGUCCAUUCAAACCUUAUUCGUCUAAAUGUUAUCUUCCUUAAGUAGAAUUAUUAUCAUAUACCUAUUUAUUUAUUUAAAGUCCAAUUCUUCAAAAACCCAACGUCAUAAUUUAAUUUUCAACCCUAAAAAUUCCAUUAUUCUUUUUAUUAGUUUAAAUGUUAUUUUCAUUAAUUAGCAUUAUUAUCCUAUAUUAGUUUAUUUAUUUAAAAUCCAAUCCGUCAAAGAUCCAAUGCCCUAAUUUCAUUUUCCAAGUCCUAAAAAUUCCACUAUUCGUCUAAAUGUCAUUUUCGUUAAUUAGGAAUUAUUGUCUCAUAUUUAGUUAUUCAAAGUCUAAUCCUUCAAAAAUCCAAUGUCAUAAUUUAAUUUUCAAUCCUAAAAAUUUCAUUAUUCGUCUAAAUGUUAUUUUCGUCAGUUAGAAACUUCAUACUUGUUUAUCUCUUUUAAAAAUCUCAAUAAUUGAACUUAAUUUUCAACCCUAAAAGUUCCACUAUCCUUUUUUAUUCGUUUAAAUGUUAUUUUCGUCAAUUAGUAUUAUUACCCUAUGUUAGUUUAUUUAUUUAAAAUCUAAUUCUUCAAAAACCUCAUGUCUUAAUUUAAUUUUUCAAUCCUAAAAAUUCUAUAAUUUGUUUAAAUGUUAUCCUCAUCAAUUAGAAUCAUUAUCCCAUAUCUGUUUAAAGUCCAAUCUUUCGAAAACCCCAUGCCCUAAAUUUGACUUUCAAUCCCAGAAAUUCCAUCAUUCGCCUAAAUGUUAUCUUCAGUAAUUAGAAUUCUUAUCACCUAUCUAUUUAUUUGUUUAAGGUCCAACUCUUCAAAAAUUCAACACCUUAAUUUAAUUUUUAAUCUUAAAGAUUCCACUACUCAUUUUCUAUUCGUUUAAAAUAUUGUUUCCGUUAAGUAGCAUUAUUAUUCCAUAUUAUCUAUUUAAUCUAAUUGUUAAAGUUUAAUUCAUCGGAACCCGACUUCCAAAUCUAAUUUCCAACCUCAAAAGUUCUGCCGUCCAAAUAUCGUCGUUUAAUGAUUAUUCUCAUUAUUAAUGUUAUCCCAUCCACUUACUUAUUCAAUUACUCAUAUACCAAAGAUCUCAUCCCUGAACAAAUUCUUAAGUUCUCAAACUCUAAGUUCACAUCUUCAAAUCUCUAAAAUUCCAUCUUUUGCAAUUAUUUACCUAAUCUUUAUUGCUUCACCACUAUUAUUAUUCCAUUCCUUUACUUAUUCACUCAUCCACUUACCUACUCGUUUAAAAUCUCGAACUCUCAAAUCAUUUCCAAAAUUCCAAUUUCUUUAAAAUUUAAUUUCUAAAAAUUCUCAUUCUUACAUUUAAUUCCUAAAAAUCCAAUUUUCAAAUAAUCUCCAAGACUAAUUUUCAAAUGAAUUUCAAAAAAUCUAGUUUUCCCUUGAACAAUUUUAGUUUCUGUUUGGUAAUGCAAGUGAUAUGUUUUAUGCUCUUUAUUAUACACUGACCCCAUUUUUAUGAUAGCGCAUUGCUCGAUCGUGGCCCAGGUACGCAUCCAUUCCAUUUCUAGUCAUUUUAUAUGCACGUUUUGAUUCCCAUAUAUGCAUGAUCGAUUCGAGUAUCCAUUGAUUUUCCUAUUGAUUGCCACGUCAGCUUCAUUUUAUUAGUAGAGACCCGACUUUAGGGACUUAGAGGGGUGCUAUAGUUUUUACCGUACCUUCCCGAUAAGUAACCUAACCCCCGAACCCGAUCCGGUUUUUUUGUAGAUCACCUUUUCCAAAAUAAGGAGUCGCACUUAGAGUUUUCUUUCUUAUUUUGUUUACCCUUUUAAAAUAGAACAAAAAUAAGUGGCGACUCCAAGUCAUUUUCUAAUAAAUAAAAUUGUUUUUCAAAUAAAAUCAAGUUCGUCAUCGAGUGGAAAACGCGUGAGCCGAAAUGCGAGGUCCACACUUACUUUUUCCUUAUUUCAUACCUAAGGUAGAUGCCUUACAAAAUAAUUAUUUGAUAAAAAAAAAUUGAUUAUUUUGAAAACAAUGUAAUCAAUUUUCACUUUUACUAACUGAUUAGAGUGUUUUACAGAAAAUAUAGGGAUGGAAAAUAGAUAGUUCAAAAUAGAUCAAAUCUCAUAUUCUUAUCUUUAUUCUAAUAAAAAUUUUAUACAAAAUUGGGUGGAGUACAAAAAAAUAAUUAUGAGAAUUUCUCAUAUUUUGUCUGUCUUGUACUAUUAUUAUUAUUUCUAAAAAACCUAAAUAUUAAUUAUAUUAAAACUAAAAAUAAUAGGCAUAAGAUAUAAAAAAUAAAAGGAAAAUAUGAAAAAUAAAAUAUUUUUUUUAAAAAAAAUUAAUUAUAUAUAGAAUAGGGAUAAGAAAUAAGAAUAAGGAAAUAUUGAACCGAGUUUUCUUUUUCCUUUUUUAAAUAAAAAAUAAAAAAAUCUCAAACCAGUUCUAAUAGGGGUAAGGUGGGUAAGUACCUAAAAAACCCACUUCAGCCUCGUUUCAACACAAAAACGAAUAGUUUUGCUAAACUAGGUGGAGGAAGAUCAUGGACUUACGUAUAGAUUAUUUUUUAAUAAAUAAAUAAUUUAUUAUCCUUUGAAGCUUAAAAAAAUAAAAAUAGUUUUUUAACCUAUAAGACAUGUUAAAUAAACUUUUGAUAAAGAAAAUUUUCAUGAUAAUUUGUUUUGAAAAUGAAUUGUUUUUCGGAACAAAUUUGAGAUUUUUUUAUUGUUUUUUGAAAAAGAUUUUAAUUAAUAAUUUAAAAUAAAAAAUAAUUUAAACAAAUAGUUUCAUAGAAAAUAAAGUUAGAAACUAUUUUUCAUAUUUAAGUUCCAAAUAUAUUUUUAUUUCUAAAAAAAUGAAUUUUUUUUUUAAGAAUCAUUCUCAAAAACUAUUAUUUGAGAAUUGUUUUUAAAAUAUUACUAAACAAGCCCUUACAAUUUUUAAUUUUUCCAUCCUAUAUAUAAUGUUAAUCAUAAUUAAAGUAUAACUUGUCUAAGCCUAAUUAGAUUUUUGGAGAAGUGUAGGUUAUAUGUGCCAAGUGUUACACUUGGAAUCAGUUUUUAGAUCCAUUGUCCACUUAUAGAAAAUGGUUUUAUUUUUUUUAGAACAUCAAAAUAAUAUUCUAACUCAAUAGAAAAUAUAUUUUUAAAGAAAAAAUUAUUCGAACAAGUUUCAAUUUUUUUUCUUUUUAUAAAAUAUCCUAAACAUAAUUGAAAGAUGAGAAUACUUUGUACAUUAUUUUCGUAAAAAGUAAGUCUAAAUUUUUUUUUUAUACCUAUGUUUCUAAACAAAAUUUCGUUUUGAUCGAAAAAUAAUUUAUAACAACUAUUCUAAAAAGAAAUGUAUUGUACUCAUAAACAUUGCUAUAUAUGCAUGUUCUAAAUUCAUAUUUAAUUUGAAAGAAAAACUAAUUUUCUCACCAUUAUUUUAAUUAUCACCAUAUCCUCUUCUUCGAACUUGAAAUCAAGUUGAAUUGAUGAUUAUUAAAAAACAGGAGUGUCUGUGAUAUUUUAUAUGGGACAAUUGUGUUUUGGACCCAACUAGGCUCAAAAAUUAAGAUUUGACCCAUAAAAGUUGCAUAAUUGAUGGGAAUGAUAUAAAAUGUGAAAAGACCAAUAUACUCUUCAAAACUAUUUUGAGUAUUUUCUACCACAAUGUUUUAUAAUAUUUUUUACCUUUAUUUUUUUUAAUAAUUAUUUUGAAAUUUUAUUAUUUUUAGAAAACUAUUUUUUUUAAAUAUAUAUUCUAAAAAUAUAUCAUUUAAAAAUAAUAAUUUUGACAUAUUUUUAGUUAUUUUUUACAUACAUAAUUUUAAAAAUAUAUAUUUUUCAUAUUUGUAGACCCCAUUUUGGGGCUCAUUUGUUGUAGUUUAUCUUGCCAGUUGGAGGGCUCUUAAGGAGCCACGUGUUGCCUCAAGAGAGGGUGUUAAAUAAUCAUAUUAGUGGGUAGAGGAUGCAAUGGAGAAAAGACAAGUGUUGAAGGAAUAUUUUGGGGGGAGUGUAUUCUAUUAGAUAGGGACAGUGAGGCAGUUAGAGAGGGGGAAGAGAUUUUGUUGUUGGUUACAGAGAGGUUUUAGGAUAGCUUAGAGGGCAAGACAUCCAGAGGAGGGGGGGAGGAGGGAAGAGCAAGAGAACUUGAGGAGAAAGAUAGCUAAAAAAGAAAAACAGAGAGUUAUAGGAAGGAAGAGCGUUGUAGGGUUGAUAACUUGAGGAGCAAAUUGGUUUGGGAGGAAGGACUGAGAGAAACAAGCUGGGUAUUCCGGAGACAGUGGGUGUGAGACUGUGAGAGAACAUCUGGAGGAGAAAAUUAGUUGGAGGUUGCUUGAAGGAGGAAAAGAAAACUUGAAAGAAUUUUUUCCAGGUACAUUUGUUGUAGCCUCUUGGAUUGCUUUUACUCAUCAUUUUUUUUUUUUUAAUCUUUCAUUCUCUCUAGUUGUCUCUGAUUUUCUGGGCAUCGGUCAAUUGUUUGGGCAUUAGUAUGAUGUUGUAUUACACUUCUCUCAUAUUUGUUUAUUUGAAUAUGGCUCAUUCCCAUAGUAGGAGUUUGUUGAUGCUCUCAUUUUGAUAUUUGUUAUGAACUAUCCUACUGCACCACUGGUCGGCGAAUCCCUGGAUUUCAACAUGAAAAGGGAUCCCACUUAAUAUUCUGCUCACUCUAUUUACUUGGUUCUGGGUAAGCUGUAUCCUGUUUUGCACACUUCUUUACUUCCGGCACCUCAAUUCAUAUCCCUUUUUAUGGCUUAUAUCUUCAAAUUUGCUCUGGACGAUUGGUUGUGUGUUUUGAUCUGUGCUUGAGGAGAGAGGGUUGUGUGUUGGCUUACUACUCUAGAUCCGUGACCCCAGUGGACGAGAUGUAUACAUGUGUUAUAUUAGCUCUUAUUUUGGCUGCUGGGUAUGCCACUGAUGCAUUUGGGAUCCAAGUUCUAUGUAAUUGGUUUUUCCAUGGGUGGACAGGUGAUUUGGAGUUGCCUCAAGUAUAUCCCUCAUAGGCUGGUAGGUGCAACACUAAUAGCUCUAGUGGUCAACUACUGGUGGCCUAGUUUUCCUACAAACUUAUCUAAAGAAGCCUACUACCAAUAGUUUCGGUAGGAUUAGUGGGCGCUUCGUGUUGCUCACUACACACCGUGGCUUACUUACCGGUGGAACACUCAAAAGUGGUUUUCUGCUUGUAGUGUUGCAGAACACAACACUAAUAUUCUUUCUCGCCCAGACAAAGAGCUCAUGCCUAAGCUUUCAAAGAUAAAGGAAUAUAUGGCGUAGGUGAGACAACAAGGAGAAUUUGAGUCUAUCCACCGUGACUUGAUGAUUAGAUUUGGAACUUGGGAAUUUGAUCCCAUGGAUCUGAAGAACCCAUUCCCAAACAAUGAAGGUUCUAUCCACCUAUGGCAUGGAGAUGAAGAUGCAAUUGUGCCUGUUUCACUGCAAUACUACAUUACCCAACAACUCCCAUGGAUCAUAUUUGUAGAUAUCCAUCUGUUUGAUCAGCUCAAUGGGCAGAGACCUCUGCUGAAUCUUCUUCUUUAGGUAGAACCUCACAAGCUCCUCAUUUAUGGGAUGAAACCUAAAGCCAUGCAGCAUAACAUCAUCCAUUUUAUCAGCAUCAUUCCUCUCAUCCAUCAUCCAUUUUCUUCCCUGAUUUCCUCAAACCUGAUUAGGAAUUAGAAUCAAUGAACUCUCUAAGCUGAUAUGGUAGUGAGCUUUUUGGAAAACUAACACCAACCCAUCAAUGGAAAUUACAAUUCACUUUAUUCAAAGCCAUUAUAUGCCUUAUGAUAAGAAGCUUGACUACGCAGCUUGAGCCAGGUUUUAUGGUGGUUGUAAGGGGGAGUGUUUAUCAGUGAAUAUCACAAUGACUUGGUGAUAAGAAUAGCUAAAGGAAAGCUCUGUGAAGAACAACUAGUUACGAGAGAGAGAUAUUCAAAGAAGAGGUUAGAUUCAAGGAGAAACGGAGGAAAGAGUCCCAAGUUUCCUUCCUUAAAGCCUGAAAGUAAAAAUCUAGUGGAUGAAUCUUUGAAAGCUAAUGAAAAGAAAGAAGAAAAAUCCAAGAAAGGUGAUGGUGAUAAGGUGAGAAAGGGAAUGGAGAAGGGGUCUAAGAAAAAUGAGGUGAAAUCUUAGAAAGGGCCGUUAAGAGUUGGACUGGACAUGUGCUAAAAAAAUGGGGAUGUUAUGUGUGCGCUUGAACUAUAUGGUUUGGCUCUAAGGAAAUGAAUUGAAUUAGGGCAAUAUCACUAUAUUGUUCUUUUGUAUCUUUGUUCUUUAGCAGCACUUGGUGUUAUUUAACCUGCAAAAAGUGGAACUGGUAGCCGGAGUUUGGACAUGCUGAGCCCUUCUAGUGAAGCUCAUGGUGAGGUUUCCGAAGAUUUGGCAGAAUUUGGGGACACGAGCAAGAAGAAUUCUGAAGCAUUUGAAGUAGCAAAAGAUGAUUUGGAUGGUAGUUUCACUGAAAUGGACAAGUUAUCUCUAGUCUUUAAUUGCUUUAAUAAGUCAAAUAGUCAACUUUUGGAAGGUCAAAAGCAUUUAAGAAAGGGUGUUGAUGACUCCACAAAUAUAAAAGAAGAUAAUGAAAUUUGGGUAAGUGAAGAUUUCAAGAAGUAUGCACUCCGAAGUGGAUUUCAAGAAGUCCCAAUGAAUGAAGCAACCUUGACAUCGUUGGUGAGAAUGGCAAUGUCCAUGGGUAAUGGUGACAUGGCUUUUGAUAUGGUAAAGCAAACGAAACCACUGGGGAUAAAUCCUAGACUACGGUCUUAUGGUUCUGAACUUUUUACUUUCUGCAACAAUGGAGAUAUUGAGAAAGCAUUUGGUGUUGAAGAACGCAUGUUGGAGCAUGGUGUCUAUCUUGAAAAGCCAAGUUUUAUACCGAUUUUACUAGAACAAGAGCAACCUGAUGAACAAAUGUAUUCCCUUGCAGCCAUGCCAUCGUCCUUGACUGCACAAAAAUUUCUUCCAAAUGCAGUCCCCGUUGGUCAUUUCCUUGGAUUGAUGCACAUACCAUCUUCUAUUCAACUAGUAAACCAACAACUUGCACUAAAUUUGCCUACAACUGCCUGCCUUGGUGAAAAAUCACUUCCAUGUCACGAUGCCAAUGAUGCAGGGAGCUGCUAGGUUUCCUUCCUAGAUAGGCACCAAUGUCAAGGGGAUGGAAUGAUCCAUUUUUUGAGGCUGAUCGGCGAUAAAUAGCCAAACAAGCAACUGCCUUUAAGCGAGUACAUCCAAUAUUGCAUUUGCUUGCUAGUUCACUGCCAUCAACCCAAGUUGCUAGGUUGCUUACAAAUUAAUUCACAACUAGUGCACCGACUGCACCACAACAGACAUUUGCAUCAACUUCAUCUGGUAAUGGGUUCUCACUUUUUUGGUAUUUCAUCUUCUGCUCCAUCUAUCAUCCACCUACAUCCAAACUUCUGCCAAGUCACCUUUGUUGACCUCACAUGUAGACUGUACAAGUCUAUGGUUUGAGUUUGAGGCAAAGUUUUUCCGAAUUUGAUGAUUCAGAUUCAAAGGAAGGUUUCCUAACCGAUUCAUAGGAUGGUAGAGUGAACACAGUAGCACUCUGGGUUUCAUUCCUACAUGGUUAUCCCUCACCAUCUCUCUCACUUAUGCACAUAUGCAUGGCCACCUUUGGGUCACGUGUCACUCUUCCAUUUCUUCAUCCUUGCUUUUAAAAAAAAUAGUUUCCGAAACCCUAGUUUGCCAAUAAUUUUCCAAAUUCUAGUUUUUCAAAUAAUUUCAAUUCUUCAAAUUUUCAUUCUUAGAAUUUUUAGGUCCCAAAAGUCCCGUUUUUCAAUAAAAAUUUGCUGUCAUUUUCUUUGGUGGGGGCAAUUUUCACAUUUUCUUUUAUUUUUAAAAUGUUUUGAAAUAAACGUGGAUUUAAUUUCGUAAUUCCGAAUAAUGGAAAUUCAUAGGAUUAAUUCAUGCAAAAAUAAAUCGGGCUUUGGUGGGGGCAAUUUUCAUAUUUUCUUUGAUUUUAAAAUAAGCAUGAAUUUAUUUUUGUAAUUCCAAGUGAUGGAAUUUACAGAAUUGAUUCAUGCAAAAAUAAAUCAGGCUUUGGUGGGGGCCCAAUAUAUGUGAUUUUCUCAUUGAUUGAUUGCUAUACAUGACAGACUUAUUUCACUCUAUGACAUGCAUGCGAUUAUGUUGUGUUUGUUUACUAAUCUUUGUUUUCCAUGAAGAAAAUCAGCUCAUCACUCAGGUACAUUCUUGGCCUCUCUUGUUCAUUCGAUUAUUUUGUUUUGAUUGAUAUUCAUUCGGUAUCCAUAUUUGAUCAAUCAAUUGCCAUACUUGCUUCAUCUCAUCAGUAGAGACUCGUUUUUAGAGACUUAGAGGGGUGCUACGGUCUUUAUCGUACCUUCUCAAUAAGUAAGCUGACUCCCAAGCCCAGAUUUGGUUUUUCAUAGACCACCUUUUCCAAAAUAAAGAGUCACACUUAGGGUUUUCUUUCUUAUUUUGUUUACCCUUUUUAAAAAAUAAAUAAAUAAGUGACGACUCCAAGUCAUUUUAUAAAAAUAAAUCAUUUUUAAAUAAAAAGCAAGUUCUCCAUCAAGUGAAGACGCAUGAGCAGAAAUGCGAGGUCUACAAAAUGGCGACUCCACUAGGGAUCACUAAAGGGUCAAGCUUGAACUUAAGAUGAAGCAAAUGUGGUGUUUGAUUGGUCGAUCAAUAGGUACCCAUCUCUCUUUGUGCUUUUGUUUGCUUGACUACUGAUUGCACAUUGAGAGUUUUUUAUAUCAUUAUCCUGGAUACAUGUUUGGUUAUUGUGCUCAUUUGGGACAUUGACAUGUUGAUUAUGUUGAUUGAUUAUCUUGCUUGAGGAUUCUGAUGUAGCGAUUUUUCUAUGCUUCAUUGCUAUAUCUGUUUGGGACAUUGACAUGCUGAUUAUGUUGAUUGAUUAUUUUGCCUGUCUUAGCAUAGUGACUUUGAUUUUGCCAUGAUUGUUCUGCUCACCUCACAUGUAUAGACUUACUGUUGUAUAUCAUUUGACUUGAUGUGUUGAUUCUCUAGCUUGUAUAUUAUCUUGAUCAUCUUUGAGCAUGUUAUCUUUAUCACUAUUCAUCUUGAUUAUCAUAACUUGUAUGUGGACAUAAGUGAUAUAUAUGUACUUUGCUUGACUGUAUGGUGCAUGACUGCCCUCCUCUAUGUGAUUGCAGGUCGCUUAUUCAUGUGGGCCGCAUAUCUAUUCCCUUAUCUUCAACCCUCUGGUUUCAGUCAUCUCCUUCGUCUCGGCUCUUACUUUUGCAAGUGUGAGGCCUUGUGUGUACUUGUUUCUCUUACUGAGCUAGAGAUUAGGAGUAGGGACUAGCGAUGGGUUAUAUUGAUGGUUGGGAGCAUUCUGGAAGAGACCGACAUAUUGAUACUGAUUGAAGUCCUGAUCAUUGAAGACCUGUAUAGCCUAGAGCUAGGUUUCAUGGAUAUUUGUGCGAUCAAUAUGUUUCCUCUUUUGCUUUAGCUUCAUAGGAUUUUCGGAUGCACCCAUACCGCUCACUGUGCACUCUAGUUGACUAUUAAGUGUUGAGAGUUUCGCCAUAGGGAACUCCCUAGGAUGUCGAGGUAGUGCAUGUGUGGAGGUAAUGACCGCUUUGCAUGGAAGCGCCCUGUCUCUUCGGAGACGUGCAGAGGGUUGCGUACCGCCGGAAGGUAUGAUCGCUUCUACUAAAGAUCUUUUAAAGUCCACCCACAUCCUCUUAGAGCCACCUUGACCUUAUAGGUUAAGCCGUAGAUCCUUCGAUUAGGACUCAUUUCCUACACAUGGAUGCAUCUAAGGGACUUCAGAGCCUCUUUGGUCACGAUUUGGAUUCAGUACUCCCUCUUUUAGUCUCUAGUUGAAAAUGCACUGAGAUUAGUGCGAGUUUGAGUUAUAGUCAGACAGUCCGUCUACACUUUGAUGUUUUGCUCAUUUCAAUUCAGAUUAGCAUUUCUUCCGUGUUUUCCCUUGCCAUACCCUUAUUCCGUUUCUCAUGUUCCAGGAUCAACACUUUGUUCUCAGUCUAGAUUUACCAUCUUCUGUCAGAGUAGAGAGGAGAUUAGUUCGAUUUUCAGAGAGAUCAGACAUGGAUCAGCAGUUUGUCACAGUUGAUCAGUUAACGACCGUCAUGGCUUCUAUUCAAAAGGCCUUGGCCAGUCUCAGGCAGGAGAUAGGCAGUCAGCAGAGUAGACUACUCGUAGUUCAUACCGAGACGCCUUAUGACUCAUUGCCACCUCCACCACCACCUGUUUCGAUAGUGCCACAAGCCUCAUCUUAUCUAUUACAUGGUCAUUCUGAGAUUGCCCCGCCUGUAGUAGUACAGACCACAGUCAUUGAUGAUACUCAUGCACGUAUGGACCGUAUUGAGCAGCAUAUUGGAUAGUUGAGGGUAUCUGACAGUUCAACUAUUUGGGAUGAUCUUGAGGGUAUGCUAGUGGCCAGUUUACUGGCCAAGUUUAGGAUGUCCGACAUUGAGAGGUACACGAGCAUUGGUUGUCUUCACAUUCACCUGUAACUUUACAGCACGGUGAUGAGGGCUCAUGGGUUAGAUGAGUCACAUAUGAUCACCUUAUUCCCACUAUCUUUGAGUGGAGCGGCCCAGCGUUGGAUCGCAUCUUUGGAGUCCUCACGGCACAGGACAUGAGAUGACUUGGCCCAGGAGUUUUUGCUGCAGUUUUCAUUUAAUACUGUCAUAGAUGUGUCGAGAAGAGAGCUUAAGGUUCUGAGACAGAGAUCAGAUGAGUCUGUUUCUUCAUUCAUAUCCCGCUGGCGCGAGAAGAUAGCUGAGAUUAUGGAUACAGAUGGUUUUGAGGAGUCUAUAAUCUAGGAUCGCUAGACAUGUGGUCGGAGUGCCUUUCACAGACUUUGGCUAUCUGGUUUUGGCUCUAUAUGAUGUAGAGGAUGGUAUUUCGAGAGGAUUAUAGACAGAUUCUACCCAUAUUGAUGUUAAGGAAAAGAAACCAUCUGGAUAACAGAGAUCAGCUGAUGUGAGUGCUAUCAGUUCUACCAGUCAGAGGCCUCCCAGGCAUCAUCAGCCAGUUCCACAGCUUAUUAGGACUCACCUUUCUUAUGCACCUCAACAGUAUAGGCCAUGAGCACCUCAUCAAUCUUAUGAUCAGACUUACAUGCCACCCACCCUAGCACUACCUCAUUAUGCCGUGCAGGGCAUAAAGAGACCUCCUGCUUUAUAUCAUGCUCCAAUGCAGCCACUAUGCAACAUAGUUUGCCAUGAGACCCACAACAUCCUAUCUCAGGCCUAGAACUCAACAGACUUCUACUCUUUUUUCUUUGAGAACUCAGAGAUAGUUUUCACAGUUAGAUAUGUCGUUGAGCUAGGCUCUUUGGAAGCUCACAGGGGUCGGGUUGUUGAUGGCUCUCACUCCUAGGCCAUUGCUUCAGCUUGUCUCGCCUCAGUUUAGAAUGGAUCUACACUGUGCAUAUCAUCAAGGGCCAAGGCAUGAAACUAACCAUUGUACUGCUCUGAGACAUGCCAUUCAGGAUCCGAUUUAUUAGGGUUUGGUUCACUUGGAUCAGCCAAGUGUAACCACAAACCCAUUACCGGCCCACACUACACAUGCAGUUCCCUCUCCGAUCAAUGGCACACAUUUCCUUGACUUCGCUGAGCUUGACGAUCACAUCCACAUGUUGAGUUGGGAUGAGUCAAAGCCUGAGCCCAUAGUAUCAUAUGAGAUUUAUGAGAUAGACGAAGUGACCUUGAGCCCUCGGAUGCCCACACUAUUCAGACUAGUUCCUGAGGCGACAUCAGUACAGACAACCACUGUCGAGCCAUUGACUUUCCCACAUUACAACGUUCAGACGCCAUUCGUCUUGGUUCUAGAUGUUGAGGUGGUUCAGACUUGGUAUGUUAAUGUUUCUCAUACUCCCGAUGUACAGUAUAUUCUUUGUGGAGACAUGGUAUUAUGACAGCUGCUAGACUCUUGGAUGGGACAUCCGCUCCUGAGGAGGUCAGAAGAGAGGAUGAUGAGAUUCUGAGGCAAUUACAAAGCACACAGGCUCGUAUUUCUAUUUGGAAUUUGUUGGCAUCUUCCAACACUCAUAAAGAUGCAUUGACUAUAGCCUUGAGCCAGAUCAAAGUCGAGACUACCACUACUCCGGAGAGGUUGAUUCACAUGAUGAGGGCUGGUAGAGCCACUUGCAUAGUGUUUACUGUUGAUGACUUGCCUCCAAAGGGUUCGGACCAUACACGUCCACUGUAUAUCUCAAUCGGUUGUUCAGGCCACCGAGUCCCAUUUAUCCUUUUGGACAAUGGCUUAACCCUGAACAUUUGUCUUCUAGCCACUGCCAUCGCCCUUGGCUAUGCACCCUCUAACUUUGGUCCCUCCACUUAGACAGUCUAAGCAUAUGAUAGCACUAGGAGGGAGGUUAUGGGCACUUUGGAGAUUGAGUUGUUGAUAGGUCCGACCAUAUUUCCCCAUUUGUUCCAAGUUUUGAGGAUUCUUACAUCCUUUAACCUGUUAUUGGGUCGACCUUGGAUCCAUAGAGCUGGGGUCAUUCCUUCUUUCCUUCAUCAGAAGGUAAAGUUCAUUCAUGAUGGCCAGGUUGUCACUGUGCAGUCUGUCGGAGAUAUGUUUAUUUCUUCUGAACCAGUGCUUCAGAUCAGCCACAGUGAUGACGACCUAUUUCUGACUAGGUUCACAUUCAAUGAGGAGCAGACCCUGGAGAUGGAAGAUUUUUGCCAAGACUUCGUGGCUAUAUCGUUUGACUAGCAUGGUAGCAUAGUGGUACUCGACAUGAUGAAAAACAUGUCUUAUUUACCUAGCAUGGGGUUGGAGCGACGUCAGCACUGGCCCAACGAGUUUAUGGCUAUCCUAGAUCACGAUGUACCGUUCGGACUCGAGUUCUUUCUUACUAAGGUUGAUUAUCGAUAUAUGGCACGAUUGCGCAAGAAGAGGGUGAGGGCCCGAUUGACUGAUACACCCUUUGACUAUCUUGUUUACUCAUACACCAUGAGUUUGGCGGACUACUUUAUGAGGGCAUUGAAGCUACAGAAGCCUUCAGAUGGGAUCAUUGGGGGAUUUAGCACUGUUUAGGAGGCCAAGCUUCAACGUCUUGUCCAUAAGCUAUAGUUGAGUGAUGGAGCUCCAGGCAUUUCGGCGUCUGCAUUGGUCACCCUAUCAUCUUCAGAUCGUAUGAGCCUUAUAAAGCUCUAUUUCCCAGAUGAGAUCAAUGAGCACGGGACCUUUGUUGAGAUCGGAGAUGUAGUGGAUGGAGUUGUUCCACAUGACGAGUACAUUGAUGAGAUGCUCGUGCUGAGUAUGAGCCAGAUCAAUGAGAUAGUUCAGUCUGUUGCUGAUUUGUUUGAGGGCACUAUUGGCCCAGUUAAGGGAGCGUCUGACUUUGUGGAUCCACAUCUUUCAUUUGAUAUUUUAUCAGGAUUUGUCUCCCAUUUUGACGAUGUUCAUGACUCUUCAUUUAUGGAUUUGAGCAUUUUCGAGUAUAUGCUUGUCUUUUGUGAUAUUACUUUAUCCGCACCCUCUUUACCCACAUCACAAUAUUUGAUUUAGAUAAUGAGAUUGUACAGCAUGAUUCAGAUGAUGACUCAUCUUUUGCUUCUGAUUCAGGCCCCAUUUAUCAAAGAGUUUCACAUGUUAUAGGAGAUACUGAGGUUUUUGAUUUCGGUAUAGCAGAUCAGCCUAGGGAGCUGAGGAUUGGAGUGGAUUUAUCUACAGAUGAGAAAGAUAGCCUCAUCCAGCUGUUUAGAUCAUAUUUGGACGUUUUCGCAUGGUCUUAUGAGGACAUGUCAGGCCUUAAUCCAUCUAUCAUCCAACAGCGUUUUCCGUUUUUACCCCAUGUUAGAUCGGUUAAGCAAAAGUUGAGACGAUUACACCCUCCCUAGAGUUUAUAGGUGAAGGAGGAGAUUCAGAAGCAACUCAAUGUAGGAUUUUUAUCAGUGGUCGAGUAUCCCGAGUGGCUGGCCAAUGUCGUCCCUGUUCUAAAAAAAGACGACUAAGUGAAAGUUUAUGUUGAUUUUCGAGAUCUUAACAAGGCUAGUCCUAAGGAUGAUUUUCCUCUCCCACACAUUGACAUGCUAGUUGACAAUACGACAGGCCAUUCGAUGUUGUCCUUUAUGGAUGGUUUUUUUAGGUACAGUUAGAUUCUAAUGGCUCCCGAGGACAUGGAGAAGACGUCCUUCAUUACCGAGUGGGGUACUUAUUGCUAUAGAGUCAUGUCAUUCAGGUUAAAGAAUGCAAGAGCUACCUAUCAGAGAGCAUCGACCACCCUCUUCCAUGACAUGAUGCAUCGGGAUGUCGAGGUUUAUGUAGAGAUCAAAGGCUUCUUGGGUAGACUCCAGUACAUCAGCAAAUUCAUUGCCAGAUUGACAAACAUUUGUGAGCCCAUUUUCUGACUCUUAAGGAAGAGUCAACCUACUGUUUGGGAUGAUAAGUGCCAGUGCGCUUUUGAGAGGAUUAGAGAGUACUUGUUGUCACCUCCAGUCUUGGUGUCUCCUACAUCGGGCCAUCCUUUACUCCUAUAUCUGUCAAUCUCAUAUGUAGCCUUGGGAUGUAUGUUAGCUCAGCUCGAUGAUUCAAGAAAUGAGCAAGUCGUUUAUUAUAUGAGUAAGAGGAUACUAGAUUAUGAGAUGAGAUAUGUCAUGAUUGAACGCUACUAUUUGGCAUUGGUUUGGGCCACUCGCAAACUGAGACAUUACAUGACCAAGUAUCCAGUGCAUUUGAUAUCUUGUCUAGAUCCCUUGAGAUAUUUGUUUGACAAACCCGCUUUGGUCGGUCGCCUCAUUAGAUGGUUGGUACUUCUGAUUGAGUUUGACAUCCAUUAUGUCACUCAAAAGUCCAUCAGAUGGAGCAUUGUUGCAGAUCACCUAGCCUCAUUACCAGUUUCUGAUGGUAGAGCUAUUGAUGAUGAUUUCCCAGAUAAGGAUGUUGCUGUUGUGACCAGUCUGUCAGGUUGACGCAUGUACUUUGAUGGUACAACCAACCAUACUAGAUACAGGAGUGGUGUUUUAUUGAUACCCCAUCAUGGUGAUCACAUCCCUAAAUCUGUUCGUUUGGCAUUCUCGAAUCAACAUCCUGCCACAAAUAAUAUUGUUGAGGAUGAAGCCUGCAUCUUAGGAUUAGAGACAACUCUUGAGCUCGGUAUUAGACAGAUGGAGGUGUUUGGUGACUCCAACCUGAUAUUGAAAUAGAUUUAGGGCGAGUAGAAGACUAGAGAUGUGAAGCUUAGGCCUUACCACACAUACUUGGAGCUAUUAGUUGGGAGAUUUGAUGAUUUGAGAUAUACACAUCUACCUAGAGCACAGAACCAGUUCGUUGAUGCCCUGGCUACUCUAGCUUCCAUGAUUGAUAUUCUUACUGAUGCCAUUAUUCGCUCUUUACUGAUUGAGUCGAGAUUUGUUCUUGCAUAUUGUUGUCUGAUUGACGAGACAGAGUUAGAUGAUGGCUUACCUUGGUACCAUGACAUAUAUCACUUUUUGAGACUUGGAGCCUAUCCUGAGGCCUCCAUGGCCAAGGAUAAGAGAGCAUUGAGACAGUUAGUUGCUCGAUUUGUGGUGUGUGGGGAGACAUUAUACAGACGAUCAGUUGAUGGGAUGUUAUUAUUAUGCUUAGACCACGCAUCUGCAAAUCAAGUGAUGAGAGGGGUUCAUGCGGGAGUCUAUGGACCACAUAUGGGAGGGCAUAUGUUAGCUCAUAAGAUCAUGAGGACUGGCUAUUUCUAGUUGACCAUGGAGACAGAUUGCUGCCAGUUUGUCCAGAGACAUCUCGAGUGUCAGAUAUAUGGAGACCUCAUUCACGUGUCACCCUUAGAGUUACAUGCAUUGACUUCACCAUGGCCAUUUUCAGUAUGGGGUAUAGACAUCAUUGGGAAGAUUUCACCAAAGUCUUCUAAUGGUCAUGAGUUCAUCUUGGUCGCCAUUGAUUACUUCACCAAGUGGGUGGAGGCCGCCUCAUAUACGAGAUUGACAUCAAUUAGGGUUGCUAGUUUCAUCAAAUCACACAUUAUCUAUCGAUAUAGAGUCUCUCAUGAGCUGAUUUCAGAUAGAGGUGUACAUUUCAGGGCAGAGGUUGACACCUUGCUGCAAAGAUAUGGUAUCCAGCAUCAUACGUCAUUUGCAUACAGGUCGCAGACGAACGGGGUAGUAGAGGCCGCGAAUAAGAAUAUUAAGAAAAUCUUGCAAAAGAUGGUUGAGACUUCUCGGGAUUGGUCAGAAAAUCUCCACUUUGCAUUGUGGGCUUAUCGAACUUCUUUUCGCACCUCUACAAGAGCCACACCCUACUCCUUGGUGUAUGGUAUGGAAGCAGUGCAACCAGUUGAGAUUGAGAUGGGUUCAUUGAGGAUAACACUAGAGCAGCAUAUUUCAUAGGUAUAUUGGGCUCAGGUCCGAUUAGACCAGCUUAAUCUCAUAGAUGAGAGAAGAUUGAAGGCAGCAGACCAUGUUCAUGCAUAUUAGAGGAAGAUGGCCCGCACUUUCAAGAAAGAGGUCAAGCCUAGACCAUUACAGAUAGGUGAUUUAGUCUUGAAAGUCAUCAGAGGAUUGAUCAGAGAUCCUAGAGGAAAGUUCAGACCCAGUUGGAGCAAACCUUAUUUCAUUAGAGAGUUGACCCUAGAGGGCGCUGCAUGGUUGAUGGAUUUAAAUGGAAGCCAAUUCUCAGAGCUGACCAACGUGGAUCAACUAAAGAGAUACUAUGCUUGAGACCAUGGUUGCAUGAUGGGUGGCCAUCAUUUCGGUUAGCCAUACACCCUUUUACCAUUUUGAUAUAUAGACCGUUGCUAACCCAUUGAGCCUUGCAUGUGCAUUAUAACUUUUCUUUCUUAUUGCCUUGCUCACUUUUUGCACUGGGAUAAGAGCCCUUUAGUGUAUGUAUGCUCGGUUUAGGAGUUUCAUGAGCCUUGGACCUAUGGGCGCAUUUUUCUCAUUAUCUUUUCCUAACACUGUAUCACUACAUUUCAUCUCAUCUCAUUGGUUGUGUUCUUCAUCUUUUUCUUUGUUAUAUUAACUGCUUAUUCUGCAUCAUCACCUUCCAUCCCGAGUGGUAAUCCUUCUCAGUUCAUUACAUAAGAGGUAGUCAUGUCAUUCCCACUAUCUAUUUCACGGACAUUGAUCUAAGGAUCAUUAGUUUGAGCAGGUCAUCUUCUUAGAGAGAGUUUACGCUACUUUAACAUUUGAGAGUAUGAUUAUCCAUUUUUGACCUCAUCUUUGGAGCCUCUUUGUUUGCGUUUAGAGCAUGCACAUUUGUAUAUAUGUAAAAAAAAAUGAAAAAUAAUAAGCGCAUGCGUGUAGUAUUCUCCAUCAUUGAGCAUGUAUAUUGAUGUUCGAGGGUCAUUUUAUUGAGUAUGUUUUUACUGGAGUUCGUAUGCGAGCUUCCUGAGACCCUCCAUUUUAUGUAUUCAUUUUGUCGUAUAUUUUGAGAGUGAGAUGAGUGACUUUCUCUUAGGAGUUCUGGGUCAUUGGCUUUUCCAUCAUUACGUUCAUUGUUGAUGUGGCUUCCCUUCAUAUUUGAUUUGAGCGGAUCAUCACUACUUUUCAUGUUCUGCAUUUCACCAUUAUCCUCACUUUUGCUUUCGAUUCAUCAUCUUCAUUUUACCAUUUGUUCCUUCCUUACAACGACCCAUUCCAAGUUUGGUACUUCCUUUGCAUCAUCAUUACACAUCUCAGUAUCAGUUCGAUUUUCUGCAUUGCCUCAUUAUUAUCAUUAUAGCCACAUUGGGCAUCCUUAGGUCUAUGGCUCACGAGAUUUUCUAUACAUGUUGCAUUUUAUAUAUGAGGGCAUGGGUUUUCGAUCAUUGGGUAUUUGGGCCUAGUUUCCCUUCAUUUCUAUCACCUUAUCACCCUAGCCUACAUUACGUCCUGUGUUUUAAGACCACCCUGAGGCCAUGGGAUCAGAUUUCGUCUUCGACAACCCCCUCUUUGAUAGGUGCUUGAGAUUUGAUUGAUAUUUGGAUAUCGUCAUGCUUCUUCUUUUAGGAGACACCUCUUUGAUGUUUGGAUCUGAUUUAGCUGUGGAUUUGGAUUACUGGGAUCACAUGUUUGAUGAUGGAUGAUUUGACGUCACCUGAUUUUCUGAUCUAUCAUACGUUCGAGGCCAUACCGGGGCAUAUUCCGUUUCGGAUAAGAUUUACAUAUCUUCAUGGAGUUGCAUGCUCAUCCCCACUUAUGAGAUACACGCCGAGACGAUGACAUGUUUGUUAUCUUAUCAUGAUCCUCUAGUGAAGCCUUUCUUAAGCCAUUCAGUUAGACCCACACUUUUCGAUCUUUAGAUGUCAUCAUACUUCUUCUUCCGGGAGACGGAUUUUGACCUGUGGAUUUGAUUCAAUUGCGGAUUUAGAUUACUGGGAUCACGCAUUUGAUGAUGGAUGCUUCGAGGUCAUUCAAUUUUCUAACCUACCAAAUAUCUGAUUCCAUACUGGGGCAUAUUUCCUUUUCGAUUGAGAUCUGUAGGUCUCCAUGGAUUCGCAUGAUCAUUCCCAGUUACGAGAUACACAAUGUGCUAAGGAUUCGUUUUCAUUUUUUUCUUGAUUCUCCAUUGAAGCCUUCCUUUAGUCAUUCGGUUAAGCUCAUACUUUCUGAUAUUGUCAUGAAUUUUAGAUGGAUUUAUCUCAGGUGUGUAGAUUUCCACAUCAUCAUUUUAGGGGAGUAAAUGUCAGAUCUUUUAUACAUCUCCAUUGAGUUAUUCUCGAGUCAUCAUGACGAACUGGAUGCGCUAGUUGCUAUAUUGGGGCAUAUUUCCACCUUUUAGCUAUAGAGAUGAUUGUUUUAUCACAGGCCUAAUACAGUCUUCAAUACUCGGUCGAUGGAUACUUAUUUGCAUUAAUGGUCACUGUUUCGAUGAUUUUUUAAUUGAAAUGAGCUUUCAGCGGAGUGCGACAUUUGGGUUUUGAUCGUCCCACUAUCCAUGACUCUUCAGUAGAUUGUUAUGUUGAGAUUGUGGUAGUUACCCUAGCGAACUAUUCUCUUGAGACCCCCUAGUGGAUCAUUCAUUUGAGAUGAUGAUGGAUUUCCCCAAUAGAGCAUUUUGAGUUAGAGGAGUUUGACUUAUUGUGACACUUUAUCAGACCUUGUGACCUAGUCAGAUGGGUUUUGAGACUAUAUUUAUAGUCAAUUUGACCAUUCCGACUCGCUAGCGGAGCAUCUUUUGAGACUCAUGGAGUCUCUUUUAGACCCUUCUAGUGGAUUGAGAGUUGUGGCAGCACACUACACUGGGGCAUAUUUCCCUCUCAUCGUCUCCUCGCAUUUUUAGCUCGACGUUCAAAGCCACCAUGUCUUCUCAGUUAUAACGUUCAGAUUCGUCUCUCUCAGCUGGACAUUCAUAGAUAUCAGUUCACAGUUGGGCGUUCAGAGCCACCAUCUCAUUACAGUUUGGCGUUUAGAGCCGUUGUUUCCACUUGGCAUUCAGAGUCGUUGUUUCCACUUGGCAUUCAUAGCCAUUGUUUUAGCUUGGCAUUUAGAGUCACCCCAUCAUCUCCUCAUAGGUCUUAGCGUUCAGAGCCACUACCUCUUUCUUAGUUUCGGCGUUCAGAGCCACCAUCUCUUCUCAAUUUUGGCAUUCAAAGCCACCAUCCCUUCUCAUUUUUGGUGUUUAGAGCUGUUUUUUGUUUAUAGUUCGACAUUCAUAGCCAUCGUACCUCUUUUUCAAUUUGGCAUUCAGAGCUGCAUCUUCAUUUUGGCGUUCAAAGCCACCGAGACUUUUUAGUUUGGCAUUCAGAACCACCAUCUUUUUUUCGAUUUGGCAUUCAGAGCCGCAUCUUCAUUUUGGUGUCUAGAGCCGUUGUUUGCUUCUAGUUCAUCAUUCAUAGCCAUCAUACCUCUUUUUCAGUUUGGUGUUUAGAGCCGCAUAUUCAUUUUGGCGUUUAGAGCCGUUGUUUGUUUCUUGUUUGACAUUCAGAGUCAUCAUCUCUUCUUUCCGUUCGACGUUCAGAGUUGCAUCUUCAUCUCGACAUUCAAAACCAUAUCUUCAGUUUGGCGUUCAAAGCCGUUGUUUGUCUUUGGUUCGACGUCCAGAGCCGUAUUUUCUGUUUGGCGUUCAGAGUCGUUGUUCAUUUUAGUUCGGCAUUCAGAGCCACACCUUCAGUUCAGCGUUUAGAACAGUAUUUUAUGUUUGGCGUCCAGAGUCAUUGUUCAUUUUCAGUUUGGCGUUCAAGGCCGUCGUUUUUUUUUUUUAGUUCGACGUUCAGAGUCAUCAUGUCUUUCUUCUAUUCACUAUUCAGAGUCACAUCUUCAUCUUGGUGUUUAGAGUCACGUUUCCAGUUAGGCUUUUAAACCCGCAUCUUCUGUUUGGCGUUCAGAGCCAUGUCAUCAGUUUAGCAUUUAGAGCCAUUAUUCAUUAUUGACAUUCAGAUCCGUUGUUUCGUUUGGCAUUCAGUGCCACCAUCUUUCUUUAGUUUUGGCGUUCAAAGCCAUUAUGCAUACUCAUUGAGGCAUUUGAUACCACCAUCAUUCUUUAGUUUUGGCGUUUAGAGCCAUUGUGUAUACUCGUUUAGGCUUUUAGAGUCACCAUUCUUUCCUCCAUUUUGGCAUUCAAAGUCAUUUUCCUUACCUUGUUACUUUGUCCUUAUUGCUUGUUCAUCAUGCUCUUCUAGACUUCCCAUUCCACUACACAUGACAUAGUCAUUUGAGUUCGAGACACAUAUUUCGGCCAUGUUGUUGGGCACCCUACACUUAGCAUUCUUAUGUAGUUCACAUAGGGUAGUCCCAUUUGACGCAUUCUUUCUUGUACUCUAGGGUGGUUCGACCGCUACUCAUCUUUGACAUUGACUUUCGAGUCACUUUUGGAGAUGUCUUAGAGGGAGUCUAGGUCAUUGGUACAACUUUAGAGGCGCUUUGAGAUAUACUUUUCUCAUAUGAUUAGAGUUUUUUUGUUCAUCUGUUGGCCUGAGUGAGUUCAUGUUUUUCUAGUGUCCCUUUAGGGGUCUCCUUGAUUCUUCGGUAGAGUUCAUUUCAUUCCACCCACUAUUCACAUUUUAUUUUCACUACAGUGUUCAUAUUCCUUACACUUGUGAGCUUUACCGAAGAAGGGCAUAUUUGUAUACCCCGAUUUUGGGGCUCAUUUGUAGCAGUUUAUCUUUCCAGGUAGAGGGCUCUUAAGGAGCCACGUGUUGCCUCAAGAGAGGCUAUUAAAUAAUCAUAUUAGUGAGUAGAGAAUGCAAUGGGGAAAAGACAAGUGUUGAGGGAAUGUUCUAGGGAGAGCAUAUUCUUUUAGAUAGGGACAAUGAGGCUAUUAGAGAGGGAGAGGUGAUUUGGUUGUUGCUUACAGAGAUGUUUUAGGAUAAAGGGAGAAGGGGGAGAAGGGAAGAGAACCUGAGGAGAAAGAUAGUUAAAACAGAAAGGCAAUGAGCUAUAGGAAGAAAGAAGGUUGCAAGGUUGAUAGCUUGAGGAGCAAACUGGUUUGGGAGGAAGGACUGAGAGAAACAAGUCGGGUAUUCUAGAGAUAGUGGGUAUAAGAGGAUAGCUAGACGUUGCUUGAGGAAGGAAAAGAAAACUUGAAAGAAUUUUUUCUAGGUUCGUUUGUUGUAGCUUCUUGGAUUGCUUUUACUCAUCACUCUGUUUUCUUAUAUCUUUCAUUCUCUCUGGUUGUCUCUGGAUUUCUAAGCAUCGAUCAAUUGUUUGGGCAUGGGUAUGAUGUUGUAUUACACUUUUCUCAUAUUUGUUUAUCUGAAUAUGGCUCACUCUCAUAGUAGGAGUUUGUUGAUGCUUUCAUUUUGAUAUUUGUUAUGAACUAUCUUACUGCACCACUGGUCGACGAACCCUUGGAUUUCAAUAUGAAAAGGGAUCCCAUUUAAUGUUCUACUCACUCUGUUUACUUGGUUCUGGGUAAGUUGUAUCCUGUUUUGCACACUUCUUUACUCCCGGUACCUCAAUUCAUAUCCCCUUUUAUGGCUUAUAUAUCUUCGGAUUUGCUCUAAACGAUUGGUUGUGUGUUUUGAUCUGUGCUUGAGGAGAGAGGGUUGUGUGUUGGCUUACUACUCCAGAUCCGUGACCCCAAUAGAUGAGAUGUAUACAUGUGUUAUAUUAGCUGCUAUUUUGGCUAUUGGGUUUGCCACUAAUGCAUUUGGGAUCCAAGUUCUAUGUAAUUGGUUUUUCCAUGGGUGGACAGGUGAUUUGGAGUUGCCUCAAGUAUAUCCUUCACAAGUUGGCAAGUGCAACACUGAUAGCUCCAAUGGUCAACUACUUUUGGCCUAGUUUUCCUCCAAACUUAUCUAAAGAAGCCUACUACCAAUAGUUUUGACAGGAUCAGUGGGCGCUUCGUGUUGCUCACUACACACCAUGGCUUACCUACUGGUGGAACACUCAAAAGUGGUUUCCUGCUUGUAGUGUUGCAGAACACACCACUGAUAUUAUUUCUCACCAAGACAAAAAGCUCAUGCUUAAGCUUUCAAAGAAAAUGGAAUAUAUGGCACAUGUGAGACAACAAGAAGAAUUUGAGUCUACCCAUCGUGACUUGAUGAUAGGAUUUAGAACUUGGGAAUUUGAUCCCAUGGAUCUGAAGAACCCAUUCCCAAAUAAUGAAGGUUCUGUCCACCUAUGGCAUGGAGAUGAAUAUGCAAUUAUGCUUGUUUCACUGCAACGCUACAUUGCCCAACAACUCCCAUGGAUCAUAUUUGUAGAUAUCCAUCUGCUUGAAUAGCUCAAUGGGUAGAGACCUCUGUUGAAUCUUCCUCUUUAGGUAGAACCUCACAAGCUCCUCAUCUAUGGGAUGAAACCUGAAGCCAUGCAGCAUGACAUCAUCCAUUUUAUCAGCAUCAUUCCUCUCAUCCAUCAUCCCUCUUUUUCCCUGAUUUCCUCAAACUCGACUAGGAAUUAGAAUCAAUGAACUCUCUAAGGUGAUAUGGUAGUGAGCUUUUUGGAAAACUAACACCAACCCAUCAAUGGAAAUUACAAUUCACUUAAUUCAAAGCCACUAUAUGCCUCUUGAUAAGGAGCUUGACUGUGCAGCUUGAGCCGGGUUUUAUGGUGGUUGUAGUGUUUAUCAGCAAAUAUCACGAUGACUUGGUGAUGAGAACAGUUGAAGGAAAGCUUUGUGAAGAACAUCUAGUUACAAGAGAGAAGUAUUCAAAGAAGAGGUUAGAUUCAAGAAAAAACGAAGGAAUGAGUCCCAAGUUUCCUUCCUUGAAGCUUGAAAGUAAAAAUCUAGUGGACGAAUCUUUGAAAGCUAAUGAAAAUGAAGAAAAAAAAUCCAAGAAAGGUGAUGGUGAUAAGGUGAGAGAGGGGAUGGAGAAAGGAUCUAAGAAAAAUGAGGUGGAUUCUCAGAAAGGGUUGUUAAGAGUUGGACUAGACAUGUGCUAAAAAAAAUGGGGAUGUUAUGGGUGCGCUUGAUCUGUAUGAUUUGGCUAUAAGGAAAGGAAUUGAAUUAGGGCAGUAUCACUACAUUGUUCUUUUGUAUCUUUGUUCUUUAGCAGCACUUGGUGUUAUUCGACUUGCAAAAAGUGGAAUUGGUAGCCGGAGUUUGGACAUGUUGAGCCCUUCUAGUGAAGUUUGUGGUGGGGUUUCUGAGGAUUUGGUAGAAUUUGGGGACACGAGCAAGAAGAAUUCUGAAGCAUUUGAAGUAGAAAAAGAUGAUUUGGAUGGUAGUUUCAUUAAAAUGGACAAGUUAUCCUAGGUCUUUAAUUGCUUUAAUCAGUCAAAUAGUCAACUUUUGGAAGGUCAAAAGCAUUUAAGAAAGAGUGCUGAUGACUCCACAAAUAUAAAAGAAGAUAAUGAAAUUUGGGUAAGUGAAGAUUUCAAGAAGUAUGCACUCCGGAGUCGAUUUGAAAUCUAUGAGAAGAUGUGUUUGGAAAGGGUCCCAAUGAAUGAAGCAAACCUUGACAUCGGUGGUGAGAAUGACAAUAUCCAUGGGUAAUGGUGACAUCGCUUUUGAUAUGGUAAAGCAAACGAAACCACUAGGGAUAAAUCCUAGAUUGUGGUCUUAUGGUUCUGUACUUUCUGCUUUCUGUAACAAUGGAGAUAUUAAGAAAGCAUUUGGUGCUGAAGAACGCAUGUUGGAGCAUGGUGUCUAUCCUAAAAAGCCAAGUUAUAUGCCAAGUUUACUAUAACAAAAGCAACCUGAUGAACAGAUGUCUUCCCUUGUAGCCAUGCCAUCGUCCUUGGCUGCACAGAAAUUUCUUCCAAAUGUAGUCUCUGUUGGUCUUUUCCUAGGAUCGAUGCACAUACCAUCUUUUGUUCAACUAGCAAACCAAUAACCUGCACUGCAUUUGCCUACAACUAUCGGCCUUGGUGAAAAAUCACCCCCAUGUCACAAUGCCAAUGAUGCAGGGAGUUGCUAGGUUUCGUUCCCAGAUGGGCACCAAUGUCAAGGGGAUAGAAUGAUCCAUUUUUUUAGGCUGACCGGCGAUAAAUAGCCAAACAAGCAGCUGCCUCUAAGCGAGUACAUCCAGCAUUGCAUUUGCUUGCCAAUUCACUUCCAUCAGCCCAAGUUGUUGGGUUGCUUACAAAUUCAUUCACAAUUGGUGCACUGACUGCACCAUAAUAGACAUUUGCUCAACUUCAUCUGGUAGUGGGUUCUCACUUUUUUGGUAUUUCAUCUUCUGCUCCAUAUGUCAUCCGCCUGCAUCCAAACUUCUACCAAGUCACCUUUGUUGACCCCACAUGUAGACUAUACAAGUCUAUGGUUUGAGUUUGAGGCAAAUUUUUUUCGAAUUUGAUGAUUCUGAUUCAGAGGAAGGUCUCCUAACCGAUUCAUAGGAUGGCAAAGUUGACACAGUAGCACUUCGAGUUUCAUUCCUGCAUGGUUAUCCCUCACCAUCUCUCCCACUUAUGCACAUAUGCAUGGCCACUUUUGGGCCACGUGUCACUCUUCCAUUUCUUCAUCCUUGCUUUUUUAAAAAAUAGUUUCUCAAACCCCAGUUUGCCAAUAAUUUUCCAAAUUCUAGUUUUUCAAAUAAUUUUAAUUCUUCAAAUUUUAAUUCUUAGAAUUUUUAGGUCCCAAAAGUCCCGUUUUUCAAUAUAAAUUUGUUGCCAUUUUCUUUGAUGGGGGAAAUUUUCACAUUUUCUUUUAUUUUUAAAAUGUUUUGAAAUAAACAUGGAUUUAAUUCCGAAUAAUGGAUAUUCAUGGGAUUAAUUCAUGCAAAAAUAAGUCGGGCUUUGGAGGAGGCAAUUUUCACAUUUUCUUUUAUUUUAAAAAUAUUUUAAAAUAAGCAUGAAUUUCUUUUUUUUUUUUUUUAAUUCCAAGUGAUGGAAUUUAUGGAAUUGAUUCAUGCAAAAAUAAAUCAGGCUUUGGUGGGGGUCCAAUUUAUGUGAUUUUCUCAUUGAUUGAUUGCUAUGCAUGAUUGACUUAUUCCACUCUAUGACAUGCAUAUGAUUAUGCUGUGUUUGUUUACUAAUCCUUAUUUUCCAUGAAGAAAAUCAACUCAUCACUCAGGUACACUCUUUCCCUCUCUUGUUCAUUCCGUUAUUAUGUUUUGAUUGAUAUUCAUUCGGUAUCCAUAUUUGAUCAAUCAAUUGUCAUACUUGCUUCAUCUCAUAAGUAGAGACCCGUUUUUAGGGACUUAGAGGGGUGCUACGGUCUUUACCGUACUUUCCUAAUAAGUAACCUAACCCCCGAGCCUAGAUUUGUUUUUUCACAGACCACCUUUUCCAAAAUAAAGAGUCACACUUAAGGUUUUCUUUCUUAUUUUGUUUACCCUUUAAAUAUAAAACAAAAAUAAGUGGCGACUCCAAGUCAUUUUCUAAAAAAUAAAUCAUUUUUAAAUAAAAAAUGAGUUCGUCAUCGAGUGAAAAUGCAUAAGCAAAAAUGCGGGGUCCACAAAAUGGUGACUCCACUAGGGAUCACUAGAAGGAUUUAAUUCCGAAUAAUGGAAAUCCAUGGGAUUAAUUCAUGCAAAAAUUAAUCGGGCUUUGGUGGGGACAAUUUUCACAUUUUCUUUGAUUUUAAAAAUAUUUUAAAAUAAGCAUGAAUUUAUUUUUGUAAUUCCAAGUGAUGGAAUUUACGGAAUUGAUUCAUGCAAAAAUAAAUCAGGCUUUGGUGGGGGCCCAAUAUAUGUGAUUUUCUCAUUGAUUGAUUGCUAUCAUGAUUGACUUAUUCCACUCUAUGACAUGCAUGCGAUUAUGUUGUGUUUGUUUACUAAUUUUUGUUUUCUAUGAAGAAAAUCAGCUCAUCACUCAGAUACACUCUUUGCCUCUCUUGUUCAUUCGGUUAUUUUGUUUUGAUUAAUAUUCAUUCGGUAUCCAUAUUUGAUCAUACUGUUUGCAGGGACUUAGAGGGGUGCUACGGUCUUUAUCGUAUUUUCCCAAUAAGUAAACUGAUCCCCGAGCCUGGAUUUGGUUUUUCAAAUAUCACCUUUUCCAAAAUAAAGAGUCACACUUAUGGUUUUCUUUCUUAUUUUGUUUAUCCUUUAAAAAUAAAACAAAAAUAAGUGGCGACUCCAAGUCAUUUUCUAAAAAAUAAAUUAUUUUUAAAUAAAAAGUGAGUUCACCAUCAAGUGGAAACGCAUGAGCAGAAAUGUAGGGUCCAUAAACAUGUUUGAUUUUUAAAUAAUAAUAAUAAUAAUAAUAAUAAUAAUUAUUAUUAUUAUUAUUGGAAAAUGGUGUAUUUUUUUCCAAAUCACUAAAUUAAAUUAAAUUUUAUUGAGAUUUACAAAAGGAAUAAAAUUUAAAUUAAUGUUUUUCUACUCUUUUUUUUUUUUUCAUAGUCAAUAAAAGUCAUUUUUGGAAAUAUAAAAAAUUCAUAUCCUUGUUCUCAAUUUUCACACUUUAUCUAAGUCUUGGGCUUAAAUGGUGAAUUAGGUCUCAUUUUCACACCAAAACUUAAUUUUUUGGUCCAAAUAGGUCAAAAACACCAUUUUUCCCAUAUUAUAUUGGGAAGCACAGUCUGCUUUAAUUAAAUUUUCUUAGGACAAUGAUUCUUAAGAGUAUGGCUCAAUCUUUGACUGAGAUGUGUUUGUUUACUAAUUUUUGUUUUCCAUGAAGAAAAUCAGUUCAUCACUCAAGUACUCUUUGCCUCUCUUGUUCAUUCGAUUAUUUUGUUUUGAUUGAUAUUCAUUCGGUAUCCAUAUUUGAUUAGACUGUUUGCAAGGACUUAGAGAGGUGUUACGGUCUUUACCGUACUUUCCCAAUAAGUAACCUGAUCCCCGAGCCCGGAUUUGGUUUUUCAAAUACCACCUUUUCCAAAAUAAAGAGUCACACUUAGAGUUUUCUUUUUUAUUUUGUUUACCCUUUAAAAAUAAAACAAAAAUAAGUAGUGACUCCAAGUCAUUUUCUAAAAAAUAAAUUAUUUUUAAAUAAAAAGUGAGUUCGCCAUCAAGUGGAACCGCAUGAGUAGAAAUGUAGGGUCCAUAAAGAUGUUUGAUUUUUAAAUAAUAAUAAUAAUAAUAAUUUUUUUUUUUUUUUUUUUGGAAAAUGGUGUAUUUUUUUCCAAAUCACUAAAUUAAAUUAAAUUUUAUUGAGAUUUUCAAAAGGAAUAAAAUUUAAAUUAAUGUUUUUCUACUCUUUUUUUUUUUUAUAGUCAAUAAAAGUCAUUUUUGGAAAUAUAAAAAAUUCAUAUCCUUGUUCUUAAUUUUCACACUUUAUCUAAGUCUUGGGCUUAAAUGAUGAAUUAGGUCUCAUUUUCACACCAAAACUUAAUUUUUUGGUCCAAAUAGGUCAAAAACACCAUUUUCCCAUUUUAUAUUGGGAAACAUAGUCUGCUUUAAUUAAAUUUUCUUAGGACAACGAUUCUUAAGAGUAUUUCUCAAUCUUUGACUGAGAUGUGUUUGUUUACUAAUCUUUGUUUUCCAUGAAGAAAAUCAGCUCAUCACUCAGAUACACUCUUUGCCUCUCUUGUUCAUUUGAUUAUUUUGUUUUGAUUGAUAUUCAUUCGGUAUCCAUAUUUGAUCAGACUGUUUGCAGGGACUUAGAGGGGCAUUAUGGUCUUUACCGUACUUUCCCAAUAAGUAACCUGAUCCUCGAGCCCGGAUUUGGUUUUUCAAAUACCACCUUGUCCAAAAUAAAGAGUCACACUUAGAGUUUUCUUUUUUAUUUUGUUUACCCUUUAAAAAUAAAACAAAAAUAAGUGGCGACUCCAAGUCAUUUUCUAAAAAAUAACUUAUUUUUAAAUAAAAAGUGAGUUCGCCAUCAAGUGGAAACGCAUGAGCAAAAAUGUAGGGUCCAUAAAGAUGUUUGACUUUUAAAUAAUAAUAAUAAUAAUAAAUUUUUUUUUUGGAAAAUGGUGUAUUUUUUUCCAAAAUCACUAAAUUAAAUUAAAUUUUAUUGAGAUUUACAAAAGGAAUAAAAUUUAAAUUAAUGUUUUUCCACUCUCUUUUUUUUCAUAGUCAAGAAAAGUCAUUUUCGGAAAUAUAAAAAAUUCAUAUCCUUAUUCUCAAUUUUCACACUUUAUUUAAGUCUUGGGUUUAAAUGGUGAAUUAGGUUUCAUUUUCACACCAAAACUUAAGUUUUUGUUCCAAAUAGGUCAAAAACACCAUUUUCCCAUUUUAUAUUGGGAAGCACAGUAUGCUUUAAUUAAAUUUUCUUAGGACAAUGAUUCUUAAGAGUAUGGCUCAAUCUUUGACUGAGCUUGAACAAAAUCCUUCAACUUGCAGCCACACUGAGUUCCUAAUUCCGAUAGGAUUGGCAUGCAUGGAAACAUGAGCAAGUAGUGAAGUAAACCACGUACGGGUCUUCUUCAAUAUGGAGAGAAAUGUUUUAUUAAUUUCUUGGAACCCUUUCCCACAAGUAACUUAAAGGGAGUAGCUAAAAUAUUAGUUCAAUUUUUUUUUUGUCUGAUGCUGUUUUAGAAUAAUGGCCUUUACACCAGGCUAGGGUAAGGAAUAUUUUUGCACUAUCAUUCUUCUGAGGAAGUUCUAUAGAUAUGGUAGGAUGUGGAUGUAUAAAGAUACGUGGGACCUGACUUUCAGCAGAGAUUCAUGCACAAGGAUAGCCUUCUUUGAGUAGAAAGCAAGCAAAUUAAACAAAGUACAGGAAAAUCCAUUUCUUCAUUUUUCUCUUCUGCCAAGCAAGCAUAUAUUCCCAACAAAAACAACCCCUACACACCUCUCUAAAAUAUCUUCAUUCGUCAGUUGAAAUGCAACAAUUUAUUAUAAACUAGAGGCCAAGGAAUCAUCUUUAACUCGUAUCAAACUGUUUGCAGUACCCACUUUAUGGCCACCCCACUUUUGCCCCGUUUUCCUUUUCCCUAUUAUGGCCUCUACUGUCUCAAGCAGCUGCUUUUAUGGCUAUCUCCCAAGUGUAUUUAUGGAGGGUCGCUGAAGCAGACAACAUUCUCAGUUGAAGUUGGUGCUGCUUUGUUGCUAUGGACCCAAGAAAACACUCUACUAGAAUGUUCAAUAUAGUUGUGUUCAUCUUCAUUUCAGUCACCACCCUGAUUAUAAGUACCCCAUGUGGUAAUUAAACAUAUUUUCCUUUCAAUUUUAGUGCAUGUUUAAUUUACUAAUUAAUGUUGAUGAGUAUGUUAUAAGUUUUGUUUCUUCUGGUGCAGAUGCAAGAAGUUCAGCACAAAUGUUGGAGGUUGAAGGUGAGGAGUUUGGUGAAAGUUCAGUCACUGGGGGGAGGAAGAUGCAACAAGUAGCAGUAAACUUGGAGAAUACUGACUCAUACAUAAGCUCUCCAUUUUCUCUACCACCUUUUGAUUCAUUGUCACCACUUCCCUCACCAGAGACAGCCCCUCCCUUUUGUGUUUGCCCACCAUUUUCCCCACAGCCACCUUCCAUACCCACUACUCCACCCAUAUUCCAAGGCCCUCCUACACAUUCCCCAGUUCCAAAUCCUCCUGAAUAUGAGCUGCCUAGUCCCCCCAAGCAUGCGCCAAGCUCACCGAAGCGCGCUCCGAGCCCGCCAGUCUUUAAGCCUCCGGUGGUUCUACCACCACCAUCUACACCGCCUCCACUACAUAAGGCACCCCAGUAUGCUGUUUGGUGUGUCGCAAAGCCGACGGUGCCUGAUCCCAUAAUUCAGGAGGCCAUGGACUAUGCCUGCGGAAAAGGUGCAGACUGUGAAGCAAUUAAGCCCGACGGGUUAUGCUUCCAACCCAAUACAUUGUUUGCGCAUGCUUCAUAUGCUUUCAAUAGUUACUGGCAGAGGACUAAGGUGGCUGGUGGCACCUGCGACUUUGGAGGAACUGCAAUGCUUGUUACAGUUAAUCCAAGUAAGUUCAACUACUGCCUUCAUCUUAUGAGUACUAGCCUUAAGUCCCAACAAUUCCAUUCAAUACUCAUGAUUUUCUUGGGUAGACAUGAUUCUAAGUUGGGUCAGCUAUGGAACCAAAAGGCGUCUCCUCUGUGUCACACCAAAAACACAAGAUCAAUCGAGUAGUCCUAUAUAUAUGUGUCUUAAUUAUUAUUAUUUUUUACUUUAAUCUUAUUUGUUCCUAAUUAACUUAAUUUGGUCUAUAUUUUGUAUCAUUAUUUAAUGGAUCAAAUUUCACUAUACACUUUAAACGACCCAAAUAAAAAGUUAGAAUGAUAUAACAUUUUUUUUCUUUCGACUUUUUUGGAUUAGCAAGUUAAAUUUGAGGGUCCAACUGUAACAUCAGAGAGGUACCCAUCCAAAAGCGUAGUCAGUCAUAUCAUAUCAUAUCAUACUGUAUUUAAGUCUUAUUGUUAUGUAUCUGGAUCUCACUCAAUCAUAUUUAAUCACAUUCUUUAUGUCUUAAUCUCAUUAUUUGUACCUUCAUUUAAUAAUUUAAAUUAUUUUACUUACUUUUAAUGAUAAAAAUUAAGAGUUAAAUUGGGGUGACUUUUUUUUCGAAGCACAAGCCCAGCUCAUACAAUUUUAAGUAUGUAGUUUGAUUUGAGUCUGAUCUUUGAUAUAUAAUGCCUUGUUGCAGGUUUUGAUGAAUGCCAUUUUGUCUACAAUUGAUGAGUAGUGGUGAAGACAAUGCCUGAUUCCAGAGGGUAUAUGAAUAAUGCAAUAAAAUAGGUGUGUGGGUGGUUGUCAUGGUUUUUGCAGCCAAACAUGUAAAAGUAUUUUGAUAGAUGGAUUCAGUUUGGAUUUUGGAAUAUAGGAUCCCUACGCAACAUCUACUUAUUCUCUUGCCUUAAUUUUGUAAUCUAAAUUAUUACAUAAUACAUGAUGUUGAUGGUUAAGCUGGAUCUUAAUACAAUAAUUUAUUUAUUUUUUUGAGAAUUUAUUUGGACCUAUGUUAUAUACCAUCACCUUAUUUUAUCAAUUUUUUUUAAAAUAUAAAAUAAUAUAUUGGUGAAAUUACCCUCUUACCAGUUUGUUCAACGUGCCUACAACUACCCAAAAUUCUAACCUUAUUUUCACUUCAAGUUUAGUUCAUUUUCCUUGGGAAGAGGGCAAAAAGGUCAUUUCACAUAACUUUUAAUAUUAGAAAAUUAAAAACAAAUUCUCCUCGAUUAACCUUUCUAAACCCCAUGAAAUGACCUAAAAUAAUAAAUAAUGCUCUCUUUCACCCAUUUUGGUUAUUAAAAAAGGAAAAAAUAUAUAUUAAAGAAACAAUUCAAUUUUAUUAUGAAAAAUAAUAAAAAUAAAUAUAAUUAAAAUUAAUUAUAAAUUUAUGUAUUAUUAUUUAAUUUUCACAUAAAAAAAAUAAAAAAAAUGAAAUGAAUUUGAGAUAAUAUAUAAAAAUAAUUCUUUUACGUACCAGUAAGUUUGAUAAUUUACAUUUAUUAUUGGAUUUAUAAUUAUAAUUAUUAUGAUUAAUAGUCAAAGGUUCUUUUAAUCAAAUUUUAGUUAUUAUGAAAUAAGAUUAAGGUGCUAAUGAUUUAAAUCAAAUUAAGGUUUUUUAUAACAAUUUGUAAUAUAGUAUUUAUUGGUACACUUAGGCUUAAAAAGUUGAUUUUAUUAAGAAAAUGAAUAAAUCUUUGUUUUAAUUCAAAGUCUUCAAUUAUAAAUGAGUUUACAUAUUCCUUCUCUUAAUAUUUUUAAUUUAUGAUUACACUGCUUCUCUUAUUUAUUUAUUUAUUGUUUAAAAAAAAUUAACACCCAAUUUACGCAUGGGGGUGAUUUACUUAAUCAAAUUAAUUGUUUGUCAUAAUUAUUAUUAUUUUGGGAAAUAAUCAUGUGAUUGUAUAUGCACUCUAUCUUUAUACAAGAAAUUAGAUUUUUCAUAUCAUGAUCCCAUUUUGUGGCAUCUAAAUUCUAUAUUUUUUUAUAUUGUUAUUUAAUAAUUUAGAUUAAUUAGUUAUGCAUGUUAAGAAAUUGAAUUAAAGACGUUGAAUAUGAUAUAAAAAGCCACAAUACAAUAUUUCUUGUCCCACAAAUUUAAUAGAAAUCUUUUCUUUCCAUGAACUUUUUAAGAAAAUACACCCAUUUGCUAAGUUGAUAAUUUAGUCAAAUAGGUGCAUCAUGGGCCCAUUGAACUUAGUCCUUCUACUACAGCUAAUGAUAUUGGUUUUUAGUAGAGGUGCAGAGAAUCAAGCCGAACCAAACAAAAAUGCUCGGCAGGUGGAGAUGGGAUCGAUGUUACCAUUUUUUUCUAAAGACAAUUGAUUGGAGUCUUGCAGAGGGAGACAUAACCAUUUUACUAUGUGUCUCAAGCUUGGCUGUAUCCUACAAUCUUUUAUUUUAGUCAAUUCUUCCAAAUUUCCAAAUCUGAGUGCUGCGAGAUGUGGUUUGAGUUUGAAAACUAGAGGGUCUUUGACCGAUUCAGACCUAGUUUGUCGCAGUGGUACUCAGCCGAUGGCGCAAAAAGGUCAAGAUAUUUCUUUCUUUCUUGUCCUCUUUGCCUCGAGAUUCAGGCUUUCCUUCCUACCAGGGUACGAACCGAGGAAAAGGAGAAUUUGCUGAAGCGUGACUGGGCCUAAAAUAUGUCAAAUGUGGAAGAAAAUGUAAAUAGGAGGUGAUUGAAAGGUAGACAAAUUUUAAGCACAUUUGUUUAAAUCUUUUUUCGUCUACUCUUACUUUUAUUUUUAUUUUUCUUUUAUAAAAAAAAUCAUCAAAGGGAAAAAGAAACCAAAGCAUUGUAAAGGGUAAGGCAGAAAUAAAUUAUGAAAAUAAAUAUGUAAAUUACGAAAAGAUGAUACAAAUUCAAGAAUUUUUAUUAAAUUAAUAUUGAAUUAUCAAUUUUCUUAAAAAUUAAAGUUUUUGAAAAUUUAAAAAAAAUUAAUAAUAAAACAAUUAAAAGUGAAUAAAAAGAAAGAAAAGAAAAAUGAGUAGUUAAACAAUUAAAAAUGAAUAAAGAGAGAGGAUGGUUAGUGUAGAGACAUCAUGUAAUAAAAUCAUAAGAAUGGUGUCCUGCCUACAUAGAUCACAUGCCACAACCAUGCAAGGAUUGAUCACCAUUAUCAUAAUAUGACUUUGUAUAACACAUGAUCCACCCAUCAAUUAUAUAAUGAUCAAAUAAGAUAUCAAAAACAACUCUUCCUUCCAUUUCGUUUUGUAAUUAACCUGAUCGUCGGAGAUGGAUCGACCUAAUAAAUCCAUUCAUUUUUCAUCUUUCCUGUUGAUCCUCAUAAGGAAGACAAGUGGGUUUUAAAGUUUUGCUAAAAGUUAAAUCCCACCAUUCCAAGGUGUAAGCUGGUCAGUCAAAUUUGGCAUCCAAAGCUCAUAUUUACGUUGUAUUCAACUUCACGUAAAGAAAUAUUUCUUACUAAGGAUUGUUCUAGCAUUAAUAAACGUGUUCUUAAAUGAUAAGGGCGAGUGAGUUUAGAGUUUAGAGUUUAGAGUAGGUAAUGGGUAGUGUCGUGCUGUCAUGCAUUAUUAAUCAUCAACUUGAUUGGAUGGUGGUCAAAUUUAUCUGAUUUAACUUUCUUAAAUUGUGAGUGUUGCUUUCUUUAUGUAUUUUUCUGGUAGGCUGGUGUGCUUCUAGUUCUACCCAAUUCAUGUGGUCCUAACUUUUUCCCUCAAAAUUGGCUUUAAUAUCGCGGUGUCAAGUUGUCAACAAAAGGCAACCGAUAACGCGGAAUAUAGUACACAAAAUAAUAGAGACACUUUGGCACUAAACCCUAUACAAGAAAGGACGAACGUAAUUAAUUAGCCUAUUUUAAUUUUUUUUUAAUGUUUGGAUAUAAUGAAUUUUUAUAUUAAUGUAAAAGCUUUCUGAAACUUAUGCUAAAUAAGAUAGUAGUUUUUUUUAAAACGGUUUAUAAAAUUGAGAUGUUAAAAAAUAAUUAUUACUUUAAAUUUAUUUUUAUUUUAAAAAUAUAAAAUGUGAAGUCUAUCUUAAUUAAUGGAAGAUGAUGCUGGAAACUAAUAAACACAAAGUAAGUUUAAUCUGCAAGGAAGAGUACAUUUAGCCCUUUGGUUGUACAGGACUUAUAUAAAUUAAUUAAGUUCCAUUGUUGAAGGAGGAUGGCUCCAAGUGUAGGAAGAGUGUAAAUACUUUAUUUAUUUAUUUAUUUAUUUUUUUGGGGAAGAGUCCUAUUGGGAAUUAUUUUUAUUUUAUUUUACCUUAUUUUAUUCCAUUAGUCUUAUAUUUUUGGAAAGAGUCUUAUUGAGAUUGUGCUAGUGGAGUCUCGUUCCUUUUAUAAGUAGAAUCAUCUUCUAUUUUGAGUUUUAUUCUAAUUACAAGUAGAUUCCCGUUGGGAUUGUGUUAGUGACCUAUAAAAGCAGGUCACACCCAUCACUCUCUAUAUAUGAAUACCAAUUUUUUAGGGAAUUUAAAAAAAAAAAAGUUUUUCAGAGAGUAUUUUCAUACAUCUAUCUGAAGGAAUUUUUUCAAAACCCGAGUUGUACACAUCUCGCUUACAGAGUGCACCUAAGGCGAGAUAUGACUUUUGAAUCUUAGAGGUAGACCACUGGUACCCUAAUGCACUGAGUUAUUCUUCAAGGAUGGUGGAUCUAUUUCAAUGACAAAGUUUGUCACGCCUCAACCAAUAAGUUUUUCUUCUUAUUCAUUUUGUUAUUUGUUUGUGUCUUUUGGACUAGUCUUUUGUUUCCAUACCCUUAAAUCCAAUAAUCUUGAAAUAAAUCCAAAUGGAAGCUUCCCUAGUUCACACCCGUCCUAACACCUCUAAAAUUGAUCCAUUCAACAAGACAUUCUUUAAGAGAUGACAAGAAAGGGUUUUCUCUGCAAUUGAUGUAGUGAACUUGGAACACAUUUUGACAAUUUCAAAACUAGAAGAUAGUUCUCAUCUGUUACCAACCUGGGAAAUAAGAAAUAAAUAAGUUAGGCAUGCUAUUCUGAGUACCCUUUCUAAUGAACUUUUUUAUAUUUAUUGUUAAUUUAAAGUUGCAAAAGAAAUUUGGGAUGCAAUGAAUAAAAAAUAUAUUUUGGAAGAUGCAGAAACUCAGAAAUGUGCCAUAGGGAAUUUUAGAAAUUUCCAAAUGACCGAGGAUAGAGAUGUAUCAUCUCAAAUCCAUGACUACCACUUGUUGAUUAAUGACUUAGCUAUUGAAGGCAUUAAAUUACCCAAAUCUUUUGUGGUUGGUUAUUGAGUAGAGACUCUUCUAGAGUCUUGGAAAUACUAUAAAAAUAACAUGAAACAUAAAAGGAAACAAAUGUCCUUAGAGGAUGUAAUAAUCCAUAUUAGGAUUGAGAAACAAAACCGAAAUAGGGACAAUAUUGAGAAAGCUAAGGAAAUGUCUUCUAAAGCUAAUGUAGUAGAAGAAAAAUCUAAACCUAAAAACAACAGGUCCAGGAAACAAAACUCUAGGACCAAGCCCAUUGCAUCAAACAAGGUCCAGAACUCAACUAUUAAAAAACGAGGUAAUUGCUUUGUCUGUGGCAAGUCUAGACACUAUGCAAUUCAAUGUCACCAUAGGAAGAGAACUGAGAAGUUCAAUUCAAAGGCAAUCUAGCAGUGGCAAAGGUGAUCACAACAGUAAUCUCUUCUGAGGUGAGCAUGGUCACCAAUAUGAAGGACUGGGUGGUAGACUCUAGGGCUACUAAGCACAUCUGUGGGAAUAGAAGUGCAUUUACUUCCUAUACCACUGUAAAUGAAGGAGAGAAACAAGUGUUCAUGGGUGAUUCUAGAUCUACUCUAGUGAUUGGCAAAGGAAAAGUUCUCCUCAAGCUAACCUUUGGAAAAGUGCUUGCCCUCAGUGAUGUUCUUCAUGUGCCAAAUAUCCGUUGGAACUUGAUGUCAGUAUCUCUGCUUGGAAAAGCAGGAGUGAGGAUCUUGUUUGACUCUGAUAAAAUAGUUUUAACCAAGAAUGAUGAAUUUGUGGGAAAGGGCUAUUGUAUUUAGGGUUUAUUUAUGUUGAAUGUUUAUGAUAUUAUCAAUAAUAAUGCAUCUUCUUCUUCUGCUUACAUAGUUGAUUCUUGUGAUAUUUGGCAUGGUAGACUAGGACAUGUGAACUUUUCAUAUAUGAAGAAAAUGGUUGAAUUGAGUUUAAUCCCUAAACUGUCCUUAGAAAACCAUAGAAAAUGUGAAUCUUGUGUAGAAUCUAAAACCACAAAAAAAUCUUGCAAAUCAGUUGAAAGAUAAUCAGAUCUACUAAGUUUAAUACACAGUGACUUAGGAGACCUAAAAAAUACAAUGACUAGAGGUGGUAAACGAUUCUACAUAACUUUCAUAGAUGACUACUCAAGGUAUACAAGGGUAUAUCUUUCGAGAAAUUAAAAAUGAACCAAGAGAUGUUUUCAUCAAGUACAAAAAUGAAGUGGAAAAUCAACUAAAUAAGAAAAUUAAAAGGCUUAGAACUAAUAGGGGAAGAGAGGAUGAGUCCAACCCCUUCAAUUAUUUUUGUGAAGAUCAUGGGAUCAUUCACAAAACUACUCCUCCUUAUUCCCCUGAGUCUAAUGGAGUAGCAGAAAGGAAAAAUAAGACCUUAAAAGAAAUGAUGAAUGCAAUGUUGGUAAGUUCAGGAGCACUCUUGAACUUGUGGGGGGAAGCUAUCCUAUUCGCAUGUCAUAUUCAAAAUAGAAUGCCUUACAAGAAAACUAGUAAAACUCCUUAUCAGAUGUGGAAGGGUUAUGCACCUAAUAUAGCAUACCUGAAAGUAUGGGGGUGUUUAGCUAAAGUUCUUCUCCCUGAACCUAAAAAAGUUCAUUGGCUAUGCUGAGAAUAGUGUGGCAUGUAGGUUUCUUGUUACUAAGUCAUAAAACAGUCUUGUAGAUGUCAAUACUAUAAUAGAAACAAAGAAUGUAGAUUUUUUUGAAAACAUCUUUCCUAUGAUACUAAAUAGUGAACAACAAGUUCAGAAAACAAGUAGAGACGAGUCUAUUGAACCUUCUGAAUUUAAACCUAGAAGGAGUAAAAGAGAUAGGAAAGAAACAAACCUUGGAGAUGGUUUCUACACCUUCCUAAUAGAUGAUGACCCUAGAUUCUACAAAAAAAAGCUAUAACUUCUCCUGAUGCACCAUUUUGGAAGGAGGUCAUUAAUAGUGAAAUCGAAUUAAUCAUGUACAACCAUACAUGGGAGUUAGUAGAUUUACCUCAUGGUGCAAAGAGCAUUGGUUGUAAGUGGAUCUUUAAAAGAAAGUUGAAACAAAAUGGGUCUAUAGAGAAGUAUAAAGCUCGUUUAGUUGCCAAAGACUUUAAAUAAAGAAAAGAUGUAGAUUACUUUGACACAUUUGCCCUUGUGACUAGAAUAGCAUCAAUUAAAGUAUUGAUUGCUCUAGCUUCCAUUCAUAAUUUAGUGAUACACCAAAUAGAUGUCAAGACUACAUUCUUGAAUGGGGAUUUGGAAGAAGAAAUUUAUAUGGAACAACCUAAGGGUUGUGUAGUUCCAAGAAAGGAGAAAAAGGUGUGUAAGUUGGUUAAAUCACUAUAUGGGUUAAAACAAGCUCCCAAACAGUGUCACAACAAGUUUGAUCAUGUGUUAGUAACUAAUGGAUAUUCCAUUAAUGAUGUUGAUAAGUGUAUCUAUAGCAAGUAUGAGGAUAACACAUGUGUAGUCAUAUGUCUUUAUGUUGAUGACAUGUUGAUCUUUGGAACUAGCCUAGAGGUUGUGUGUGGGACCAAGAAAUUCUUAGGUUCUAAGUUUGAUAUUAAAAACCUAGGAGAGGCAGAGGUGAUUUUAAGAAUGAAAAUAACUAAAACACCUAAUGAGUUUAAACUUUCUCAAGAGCACUAUGUUGAAAAGAUCCUAAGGAAGUUUGAACACUUUGAUUGUAAACCAGUGUCAACUCCUUAUGAUCCCAGCUCACAGCUAAAGAAAAAUAGAGAACAUAGUGUUGCCCAAAUAGAGUAUGCUCGGAUCAUAAAGAGCCUAAUGUACUUAAUGAACUGUAUCAAACCUGACAUUGCUUAUGCAGUAGGUAGAUUGAGUCGGUACACCCAAAGUCCUAAUUAGGACCAUUAGAUUGUUGUUCGUAUAGUCCUUAAGUAUUUGAAAGGCACCAUUAACUAUGGUUUGUGCUUUAGUGGACUUCCAAGUGUCCUUGAAGGAUUUAGUGAUGCAAAUUGGAUCUCGAAUUUAGAUGAGAUGAAAUCCACUAGUUGAUAUGUUUUCAUCCUUGGUGGAAGUAUAGUUUCUUGGAAGUCUGCCAAGCAAACUUGCAUUACUCGAUCUACUAUGGAGGCUGAGUUUAUUACCUUAGAGAAAGCAAGUUUUGAGGUUGAAUGGCUUAGAAACCUCUUAGCAGAUAUCCCUUUAUGGAUGAAACCAACCCUGUUUGUGUCUAUGCGUUGUGAUAGCCAAGUUGCAAUUGCUAAUGUUAAGAGUAAAAUAUUUAAUGGGAAGAACAAACAUAUACGUUGAAGGCAUAAUAUUGUACGGCAGUUGCUUGAAACAAGGGUUAUAUCCUAGAAUUUGUGAGGUCGGAGUUGAAUUUGGCCAAUCCUUUGACCAAACCACGAAAUAAGAAACUAGUGGAAGAAACAUCGAGGGGGAUAGGGCUUAUCCCUAUUAUAGAAGUCAAGAGUGGUGGUAACCCAACCUAUUACAAUGGAAAUUUCAUAAAGUAGGUUCAUAUGGGUAAUAACAAAUCACUUGUUGACUUGAGGUGCUUUAUCAACUCUAAUUGUAUGAGAGUUCAUCCUUAUGGUGUAAAUAGAGCGUAUACUGCAUUGAUUAAGGUUGAGUAUUUACUCUUAAUGAAUACCAUAUUCCUUAUGGGUGGUAUGUUUAAAUGCAAAACAUACUUGAUGGAUUCACCUAUAUGAGAGUGGAGGUGGGGCCGCUUCCUAUGAGAACUUAGGCAGGUUCUCUAAAGCUCUCAUGAAUAUCUAGGUAAGGCGCAUGACCUAUUUGUGCCAACCGGUUUUGUACAGCUCGUAGUUUAGUUAAGAAAACCAUGUGAAUAAAAUUCCCUUGAGUUACAUCAAGAAACACCGGUUCAUAGAAAUUUAUUUUCACCGUGUUUUGUGAUUCAAUACUUAUUUGUCCUCAGACUGGUUCAUAGCCUUUGGGCACCAUUAUUGAUGCAUUGGAUUUUUUUUUUCCUCAAAAAAAAAUUGCGUUUACACUUUGUGGGGUAUUUUAUUCUAUGAGUCUUAUAUUUUUUGGAAGAGUCCUAUUGGGAUUGUGAUAAUGGAGUCUCAUUCCUUUUAUAAGUAGAAUCCCCUUCCACUUUGAGUCUUGUUCUGAUUACAAGUCGAUUCUUAUUGGGAUUGUGUUAGUGGCCUAUAAAAGUAGGUCACCCCUUACUUUCUAUAUAUGAAUACCAAUUUUUCAGAGAAUUUUUAAAAAGAGUUUUUCAAAGAGUAUUUUUAUACAUCUAUCUAAAGGAAUUUUUUCAAAACCCGAGUUGUACACAUCUCAUUUACAGAGUGCACCCAAUGCGAGAUCUGACUGUUGAAUCCUAGAAGUAGACCACUGGUACUUUAGUAUACCGAGUUAUUUUUCAAGGAGGGUGGAUCUAUUUCAAGGACAAUGUUUGUUACGCCUCAGGCGAUAAAUUUUUCUUCUUAUUCAUUUUGUUCUUUGUUUGUCUUCUUCUUAUUCAUUUUGUUCUUUGUUUGUCUUUUGGGUUAGUCUUUUGUUUCCAUACCCUUAAAUCCAACACCAAGACCAUACAUAAAUGAAGGGGAAGAGGAAGAGAAAGCAAAACUUUCAUCUGAGAUCUGCAUGUGUCGGGCGGUGGAGGGUGCAUGGUACAUGGUUUGAGCUACAUGCCAUUGCAUGUGGUCCUUGAAGAAAUCAUGUUAACACAACCACAUAAAAUAAUUCAAUUCUAGAAAUGCAUCUGUAACCAGGGAAAUCUAUACUGGCAUCUGUGCAUAAACUUAUGCGAGAAAUAUGGUACCAAGUCUCUGCAGAUUUAUACGUGGCCGACAUCGUGGAUGUCCUGUGAACUAGAUGCGGAUUACUAGUCUAUUCAAGGGAUGGACCUCCCCUACAAAAAAUCUAUGUGAGGUUUGUCGUCUCAUGCAGUUUUAAACGUAGGAAAAUGAAGUUAGUAAGAGAGUCACAUGUGGUUUUUUGGUCCUUUAGCUCAAUCACGGGCUCAACAGUCGCUACAAGUUAAAACAUCCUCAUUCAGAAACCGCGUCUCCCUGAUUCUCGUCCGGAAAAGUUGAAAUUCGAAGCAAAAGUACUUAUCUGCAGCCCAACUUGAAGCUAGAGGCAUUGAAGUUCGAUGCUACAUAUUCAGAGUGAUUUGUGGUGCUCCUUAAGUCAAUUGGGUCAUGACAAAUGAUCCAAUCGACUACGGAGAAAAUAGGGCGAUUUGUGGGGUCAUGUCUCUUCCCCACACAGUUGGAUACACUAUAAAGAAGGCUAGUGACUAACAUGGAUUUUCAUCCACAGGCACUUGCUGGGUUUUGCGUUAUGGGGAAGCAUGGUCUGGCUACCUGGUUGGUCAUCCUUCUCAACUUCGCUACACUUCUCACUUCUCUUGCUUGUUCCUACUGCCCAUCCCCAACUCCUCCUAAACCACCCAAGGUAAAGCACCCCCUUCCGCCUCUUCCACCUAAACAUCCUCCACAUGUCAAGCCACCGCAUACACCUAUGCCACCCAAGCCUCCUGCUGUAAAACCACCAUAUGUACCUAAUCCUCCAGUUGUGGAGCCGCCUUAUGUGCCCAAGCCUCCUGUUCUAAAUCCGCCUCAUGUGCCCAAACCUCCUAUUGUAAGGCCUCCUGUUGUAAAACCACCUUAUGUGCCCAAGCCACCAGUGGUUCAGCCCCCACCGCCACCAGUGGUUCAUCCCCCACCGCCACCAACACCGUGCCCACCACCACCACCCCCCAAGGGGAGGCCCCCACCACAAAAGAAGCCUCCUGUUCUAAAUCCGCCUCAUGUGCCCAAACCUCCUAUUGUAAGGCCUCCUGUUGUAAAACCACCUUAUGUGCCCAAGCCACCAGUGGUUCAGCCCCCACCGCCACCAGUGGUUCAUCCCCCACCGCCACCAACACCGUGCCCACCACCACCACCACCACCCAAGGGGAGGCCCCCACCACAACAGACAUGCCCCAUUGACACUCUGAAGCUAGGUGCAUGUGUGGAUUUGUUGGGAGGG